rnacentral:lncRNA from 1 species
UUUUUUUUUUUUUUUUUUUUUUGUCAAUCGUCAACCCUACUCCUAUUUCUACUCUAUUCUAACCUAACUAGAGGGGAGACCCAACUGGGCCUAUGGGGGGACCGAUGAGGACAGAACCACCACCAGACCAGAUGGGUGCACCACGCACCCAUCUGGAUUUUUUGAAGAACCCCAACUGUGGCAAAUUGGUGGGAGGCAAGGUUCGAACCCUUGCCUCCCACCCCACCAAAGCCUUAAAGGCUUGGUGGUGGCCAUCAGCCUAAGGCUGAUGGUUUAAUAGCCUUUCUAGUUGCUGAAUAUUUUUUUGUUUGUGGGGUUUUGCGGCUACUCAAAUGGGACUGGGAAUCCCACAAUUAUUGUACAGGAAGCGGUUUAGGACAAUCUGACCUACAACAUUAAAGAACUUUCUAGUUGCUGAAUACUUUCCGGAAUGUUGUCUUUUAAGGCUUUAAAUUAAACUAACCAACAAAUGAUAAUCGAGUCACUGCUUCAUGAAUGUCCAGUGUCCUUAUCGUUAAUUGCUAUGGGGUACUUUGCUCAAAUCUGGGACUUAUAAAGUAAUUAGCGAAUUUCAAAAUAUAUUAAUACAACUAUUAGUGAUAAAUAGCUAUGCAAAUUACGUAACAUGUAUAAGAAUUUCCACAAAUAAUUAGUGCUCCUAUUUAAUGGAAGAAACAACAUUGGGAAUCCAAAUAUUAUUUUUCAUUUACUUCUGCAACUGAUACAUAAAAACCUUAUACUCCCUCCGUCCCACUUUGACAGUUCUGGUUCUUUUUUUACACAGUUUAAAAAAAAGUAGUUAAUUUUAUUGGAACAAUCAAUUUAGGUAGCUAUUUUCCUAAAAUACCCUCACAUUAAUUAGAGUACAAUUUUAUGAGAACUUGAAUUGAUGGUAAAAAAGGAAUAAACUCUCAUUAAAUGGGGUAGGUUUAUAGUAAAAACAACUUACAUUGAAUAAGGGCAUUUUAGAAAAAUUAAAAUGCAACUAUAUUCUUCAAUCGGAAAGUGGACUACAAUUUGGGACAGACGAAAAAGGAAAACAGGACUAUCAAAGUGGGACGGAGGGAGUAUUCUUUUAAGUACCAGAAUUCACAGUUAAAACAAAAAAAACAUAGAAUUUAACAUCAUUUUCCACUAAUUGAUUUCACUUUUCAAAGCAAACCCAAAUUCGCCAAGCAUUUGAAAUGGGUGAGAGACCAAUUAUGUAAUCUUGGACUAAUACAAUACAAACCUACUAAUCAUAAUGAACUAUUUAUUGGUCUUGUAGUUUUCCAAUGACAAGUUUUUUCCCCCUGGCUGCCUCAUUAUCUUGCCUCUAUUAAUGUAGAAAUGUCCUUCAAAAGCCUGAGUACAUUAAACUCAUGAACUCAACUUGCUACCAUCCUUUCUUUAACUCAUGAAUGAGAAUUAAGUAUUUUUGGAAACAUUCUCAUCCUCUCCUUUUCUUUCCUUUUUUCAGAAGGUCUUCCUCCUUCGAAGGGAGACUAUCAUGGUCUUCUUUCCAUAGAUUUCGUAUUAUUUUAAUCUUUAAUAAAGUCUUUCCUAAAUUUUCUUUGUGAGAACUCUCUGUGUUUUUAAGGAUUUCUAAUGAGAAUUUUAUGUUUAUCUUAAUGGUUUAUUUCAGAUCUUGUCGCCAAAUUUGAUUUUUUUUUUAAAUUUUGGAUCUUACUCAACAAAUCUCAUCAUCAUUAUGGAAAUUUAAAAUUAUUGAUUAGUAGAUUUGAUGAUUGUGACAUGGACGGAAGGGAAUUACAGUGAUUUAUCUUAUUAGUAGACAACGUCAAAUUUUUCUGUAUAUUUUAGAUCUAUUGAAAAAAAAAUUUAAAAUCUGUUGUAUAUCAGUUAAAUUGCAGAUAUGAUCUAUUAUUUCUAGUACAUAACAAUGUAAAUCAAAUUGCGUUAGACGAUUUUCAACAAUUGAUUAAUAAAAUUUUCUUUUAUUAAAAAACAUACAACCAUUCUUUUUAAUGGACGACAAUUUUGAAGCAUCGAUGUGAACAGGUGACCAUAUUCCUUGAACUUAAACUUCAUAGCCCUACAUCAAAAUCUUACAUAGUGGCUACGAUUUUUGAACCUAUCUAAUUCUAAUGUAGACAUCUUUAAAAUAAAAAAAGUUGCCGUGGGGAAAAUGAUACAAUAGAAUUCGUCGAUGAUCCUUGACCCGCAUAAGGUAGGUAUAACAUGAGUGAUCCAGAGAAGCUUUCGACUUGUCGCAGUCAAACGUUUUGUCAUUCAUUACGAAACUGAUAACAGAUGUUCUCUUGUGGUCUGUAUAUCAGCACAUGGAUGGUGGUGAACACAAAAACUCAAUGCGCAGAUUCAUCGAUCCAAAGACGAAAAAACAUUUUCCGGAUGCCAGAAUUAAACAUGCACCACAACAAAAUUGAAAAAUGAUGAAUUGAAAUUCUUUUUAUAUUAACACGAUAAUUCUUAUUUUACUCCAACUCCUCUUCUACAUUAAGAGGAAAGGAAUAGACCCGAAAGGGUCGACGAGAAUCAGAAAGGACUAAAUCAUCACUAAGCUUGAUGGGUGUCUUUCAAAAAAGUUUGAAUAAAACUGCAAGUACAGGAGAUUUCAUUCCUAGGGAUGGCAAUUGAUCGACGCCCGUCCCACGCCGCAGGGCUAAUGGGACUGGAUGGUAGGGGAAAUUUUUUUCCCCAUUAAAAAAUGGGAUGGGGAGCGGGAGAGUAUACCCCCACUCCAUUCCUUGCUGUGCCACCUGUUAAAAAAAAUUAAAUAUAUAUGUGUGUGUAUAAAAUUGGGGAGCGGGAAAGUAUACCCCCACUCCAUUCCCUGUUGUGCCACCUGUUAAAGAAAAUUAAAUAUAUAUAUAUGUGUGUGUAUAAAAUUAGUUACAAACUCGUAAUAAUGAUAUUAUUAGUUAUAAGUAUUAUAUAAUUUAUAUUAGUAUAUAUAAUAUAAUUGAUAUUAUCAAUUAUAUUAAUAAUUAUACAUGCGUACUAAUAGAAAUUAUUAAUUAGUUAUACUAAAUUUACUGAUAUAUUUAUACUAAAUUCUUAAUUAUACUUAAUACAAUAACACUUUUUUCUCAAAAAAAAAAUCAAUAAUGACUUGUGAUUAUAUUUGUCUCUAAAGUAAAAACUUGAUUACUUUAAUUUUAUUUGUCUCAUAAUGUUGUUGGAUUGUAUUCAAAUAACUUUUAUUUGAUUGUUUUUAUAUAUUUCAAUUGUGAAAUUAUAUGAACAAUGACUUGAUGAUGUGUUGAUAUUUAAAUACUUAAUUUUUACUAAAAUUUGACUACAACAAAAUUAUAUAAUACAUUUUUAUUAAUCUCGCCGAAAAAGUGAAAAGGAAUGGAGACGGGAGGGGAGAUUGGUACCUGCACCCAAGGAUGUCCCUCCCCGUUUGCCAACUCAGCUGAAAUAUCCAGACGUGGGGUGAUAUGAAUACAUUGUAUUGACGGCUCGACUUUGUCAAAUUCAUGGAACCUAUUUGAUACACGUAACGAUAGACCGUACACUUGGAUUCUUUAUUCGAAUUUAAGGGAAUCAUGUCCAACAUUUGUGACCAACCCUUGUCAACUUGUUCUUCAAGGAGAGCAUCCGAGUGCCCACUUUGGACCCUGCUACUUUGUAAUGCACUACCUAGGAUUUUUCACACUAUAUACUACAAUAAUAUCCUUCAUGUUAUUAGUGUUUUAGCAAAUCUAAUUCCCAUUUCGAUUUUCCUUGCCUGUAAAUGUUGCUCGUGGUCUAGCUUGGUUGAUGGAGAACUGGGGUAAGCAUUUUAAAUGGAUGUAGGUUUGGUCAGUCCUAAAAAAAAUCUUGGGAGAAGUUUGUAUUUUAUCACCUUAUGUCUUGAGUAGUAUCAAAGAUGAAAGUCAGUGAAAUAUCUGUUUGAUUGAAAAAGUAUGAUUCAUAUAACGAUGCAUUACUCCAAUCACCUUAUAUCUUGAGUAGUAUUGUAACUUAGGCCUGUUAUCAUCUAAUUAAUCCUGCUUUUCCUGUUGUCCCGCCUACACCAACAAAAGUUAAUCCUCAGAAUAUGCUUCACUACUUGAGUAGAUAUAUGGUCUUACCAUGGAAUUUUGUGCCUUGUUUGGAAGUAAAGUUUUUUACCAAGUUUGUCUGCUACAAGUUUUUUAAAAACUUUAGCUACAGUAACCUCAAAAAUUUUUUCAAAGUUUUUAAACUAUACACUUCAAAAUAUUAAAAAAAAAAUACACUUCAAAAAUUUUUUUAAAAACUUCUACAGUAAAAUUUUAGACAAACAUCCAAAAAACUCACCUUCCAAACGGGCCGUUAAUACAUGUGAUAAUUGUGUCAUUCUGGUAUAACUUUAGAGUGGAAGAAAGUUGCUUCCACCCACAUUUAACUCGGUUCAGGUUGAUUCUGUCUAGUUCGAUCUAAUUAUUGUGAUUCAUAACUUUUGGUGUAAAUUCGUACAACUUUAAUUUAACUGUGAAUUAGUUGUACGAGUGGAUAACAUUCACAGUUAUACCAAAAUUGUACCAUUUUACACCAAAUGUUUUAAAAAUUACAUAAUUGGAUGGAAUUGAACAGAAGUUCAACCGGACAGGCUCCGAAUGGUCGAACCAUAUUUAGCUACCCUUUUCGGAGCUAGCGGCCCCAAUUAUGAACGCAAGUAUUCUUAUUUUGUGAAGGAAGAAUAAGAACAACUAAAAACUUGUAAGAAGGGAAAACAAAGAGAACGAAAUGUGUUACUUUGUGAAAAGGCUCAACUAGGAAGACUGUGAAUUAAAAGUACCUUUAGUGGAUCGGAUGUAUAUUUUUUAUGGAAAAUUUUUUUGAGAUUUUUUAAGGUUAAUCUUUUUUAUACAAUGUUGCUGUAUAAAUUUUUAACACUAGUAGAUUUAUGUCAUACAACAUAAUAUGAAUUCAAAUUUGAAUUUCAAAUCAUGCACAUGUGACAUACAUCCAAAACUGCUAGUGUAAUAAAAUCACCACACCGUCAGUGCAUAAAAAGUUAAUCCAUUUUUUAAAUACAUUUUUUAGCUACCUUCUAAUUUUUUUAUUCAAAUUUUUAUCUAUCAUACAGCAUAUCACAAACAGUAUUAUUAAUAAAUGAAGAAAGACAGUUCAAAAAAAUUGAAAAAAGAUUUUUUGCAAAUAAUCUUCACUCCAAAUACAAUUAGAUAUAUUAAUUUGGCGUAGGCUCACUUCUAUCUAUGUCUCCUCGUUUUUGGACUGUGGUCCAAUUAACGGUCAAAGCCCAUAAAGCCAAUGGGUUUGUUUGGAUUGGGUUUUAUUUCCUCAAAUUUAUUUGCUUACAUCAUCAUUAUAAUUUCCAAUACACCUUUUUACCUUCCCAAUUACCUUUUUAUCUCACAUACAUCACAUCACAAAAAAUGCUACAGUAAAAAUAUCUCUAAUAAUUCACUUCUAUAUGGAUUGGAUUUUUGACGGCUGCUUGGAGAUUAGGCUCUAUCGAGGCGUCGUAGGAGGAAGAUUUCGGGGUAAGGUCAGAUCCAUUUCCGUAACGCUAAAGAAAAAAAUAAAUAAAUAAAAUUCCAGUUUCUAUUAGAAAAACUUUAUCUAGAUUUGGACUAACUGCUUGACAAACCGGCUUAAAAUUCCACUUUGCAUCCUUUAACUUGUAUACUUUUUUCACUUUGCACACCAUUUUAAUUUUGGACACAUUGCAUCCUCAACUAUUGAAUUUGAAUCUACCCUAUUUCAAUCCAAUUGAUAACUCCAUCACCAAAAUUAACAAAAUAAAAGACAUUUUGGUCACAAUGCACAAGUCUUUUUGGUCAAAGGGGGGCAACCUUCCCUCCACAAAAAUUUCAUCAUCUUGUACGGACAUAAAAGUCAUACUCGCUCAUCGUGUGCAUUGUCUUUUAUUCUAUUAAUUUUGAUGAUGGAAUUAUCAAUUGGACCGAAAUGUGAUAAAUCCAAUAGUAAAGGGUGUACUGUGUUCAAAAUUAGAAUUAGAGGUGCAAAGUGAGAAAAAGUGUACAAGUUGGGGUUAAAAAGUGGAAUUAAGCCUAACAAACCUAAUAGUUUGGGAGGUUUGGAUUGGCGUGGUAAGGUGGGAGAAAUUAUCCUAAAUACAAGACUAUCCACUCACCCAAAAAAAAAAAAGUUUGUCUUUAUCCAAUGGAGUACUGCUAAUUGAACAAAUAAGAAUCUCAAAAUAUUAAUUGUAUUUGAUAUAAAACUAGUGAGCUCGAGAACAUUUUUAUUUGUCUACUAGGCUUGCCAAAUUAUUGAUUUGACUGUGAUAAAAUUCUUAGAAAAAUUUUAUCUUAAUUUUAUCAUUAAGAAAUCACAUCAUCAAUAGGAAAAUUCUAUUUAUCUCAUGAUUGAUUAGGUGCAAUGGGGAGUUCUCAGCAUAGAACUUUGUACGAGGCUACUGCUUUAGGUAAUGUCCAUCUGAAGGUGCUGGUAACAUUUCUAAAAUCUCAACGAAGUACUAAUUAAGGGAAAACUAGGAGUUAGAAAAGAAAAAAAAGGUCCUCAAAUCCUUUGAAUCACCUUUCAAAUCCUGGUAUGAAUUUUCCAUGUCAACUGUUACAGUUUUUUCAGGGCAAAGACGCCUCCCUUGUACAGCUUAUCCCCACCUUCUGCUGGUGAGUGGUUGAGAUUCAUAGCUGAUGGCCUUGUCAUAUCAUCCAUCGUUUUGGAAGCCACUACUGUCUCGGCAUUCCAAUACCAGGGUUGAAGGUAAGGUGAAGAAAUAGAUGGAGAAUAUGAAGAGGGAUGUAGCAUUAUUGAUCCCCAGUCUCUUUCUCCAGGCUUUGGUUCCUUUAUCCUCCUCCUGAUUAACAAGCUUCCCACGUCUUCUUUUUUCAUUUCCGAUAUGCUUCUCAAUACUGAUAAGCAGAUAAGAAGUACAAAAACUGCAUCUUCUUCAGGCAGUACCUCCACUGCCGGUAGCUUCCAAUUUAGAAGAGCAGUUGCUUUUCCAGUUGGCAACUCCUCUGAGAACCGGACCAGUGUUAUAAAUCCAUCUUCUUCUUCUUCUUCUUCUUCUACUUCUUCGUCAUCCGUAUCGUUUGGUUUUUUGCAGAUAGAAGAGUCUGAGGCUGAUGAUGACUUCUUGACUUGAUACUGCAUCUUCCUCCCUUUCAGCAACCUUACCUAGAGUACACAGUUGUGAUUUGUUAUUUUGCAUCGUUUGAUAAAUGCAUGUUCUAGAAAAUUGAUCUUCAAAAAUAGGGAAUAAAACUGUAGGCUGUACCAUCCUGUCAGUAGGUUCCUUGUUUCUUAUGACAAAAUUGAAGCCUGAACUGGAUGUUGGAGACCCCCAACGUAUUAAUAGUUCAUUUCCUGUUGAGAUGUUCCAUGAAGCUUGCCACUCCUCAGGUGGUUCUUGAGGUGUUGCAGUGCCUACAACUUUCUCUGCACUAGAUGACAAUUGCAUGUAAAAUAAGCACGGAGGUUGAGAGGGAAACAGCAUAACUGAAGAACCAAAACAGGUGGAAGCAGUGAGAAAGAGCUACAUUAAAGCACAUACCAGGGGCUUUGCCAAUCGAACUAGCAACGUAGGACCAAGAACCUUCACGAAUCUCUAUGAUCCUGUCCUCCCAUUUAACAGCUGAAGGUGUUUCGCCUCCUCUCCUCCAAAAUCCUCCUCCCAUCCUGGAUCAUUCUUAAUCAUUUGAAACUCAGAAUAUUGAAUAAAGCAGACACUAAUAAAUGACUUCUUUCCGAUAGCAAUUACCUCAUUCGGAUGACAAAACACUCUCUUCCUGCAUGGUCAAGGACAGUGCGAGACAACCACCGACCAGCCUGAGGCCGAUACUCAUUCAUUCUAAGUAUUACAUCUGAUAUCAUUGCUCCUGAAUCAUCUGUGACCCGGUCUGGGACGCAUUUCAACAAGUAGGGUGCUUGAACAGGUGGAGUGAUUGAAGCAUCUGCUUUAACUACUUGAUCAAUUUCUUUUGACCAAGUUAGAGAGCGUGCACGCAAUAAAUCAUUCCAAAGAAAUGCAAUGCUACAUUGCAGGUUACUUCCUUUAAAGCAACGGCCACCUCUCUGACGAAGUUCAAGUAUCGCUCCCUUUGUGCCAAACUCACAGUACAGAUGCCAAGCUUUACGCCAUGAUUCUGAUCUAAAGUCUAACAAUGGUUUAUCUAAUUUGAGUUCCUUAUGGCAUCUAGCCAUCCGGAGACGUAGAAAUUCAUUUGACAUCUGUCUCUUCAUUGCUCUUGUCUCUCUACUUAGCUUCACGGAUAUGCAGAACUGCACAGCAGGAUAAUGGAGCAGUAAGGUGACUUUCACAACUUCCAAUACUCCCCAUUGGGCUUCCCCCAACCCAAGAAAGAAAAUCGGAACACAAAGUUCUACGAUAUUUUCUGUAAAACUUAAUUGCACUUAUAUUCUCUAACAUAUCUCAUUACAUCUUAUUCCUAUGCAGUCAUGCAGUUGUUUAUGUUUUAAGCAUUGAAUCAAUCAGAACAAGAUUUAAGUGAACCGAGCAUUCAGCAUCUUCCUAUUGAGUGAAUUGAGUGAACCAUCAACAGCAAAAUAUCAAAAAUCUUUUGGAUUCUUAAUAGCUGAUGAAUGAAAAGAUGCCAAUGGUUUCUGAAAAGCAAGUCAGAAGAACCUAAAAUUAGUUCCUUUGUAGAUGUUACACAAAUUAGAGUGGCAGUUAAUCUCAAAAAUCAAAAUUGUGCCAUUGACAUCCUUCGAAGCCUAAUGUAAGUAGAGAAUCACAAGCUUUUUUCUGCAUUAAAAAGAUCCAAUUUUGGGGUUUCACCAUAAUUAGAUACUUUGAAGAGGGGAUAUGAAGUUCAGCUAGCAAGUUAAUCCUAAGUUAAUUAAAUAAGAAAACAUGAUUGUCCUAAGAGUGUUCCUUUGUAUUUAUUUCAUAUCUCUAAGUUGGAAAGAGCCAACAACUGACACCAAUGGUAAACUACUUGGUACUUCUCUGUAAGACAAAGAAAGGCUUAAUGACAAGGGCUACUGUACUUUCUUAGGCAGAUGAUGCCAAUUGGAACAUGAACAUAUAGUGCAUAAUUUCACAUUUUUGGGGGGGAAGGAAAAAGUGAAGAGAGUAACUGUUAACCUAUUCUGUCUCAAGAUGUACAAGUUGCUAGAAGAUUAGAAGAACUACCACGAGUGAAUACACCUUAAAGGCUAGAUGUACAUGAGACUCAUUCGAAUGGAAUUUCAACAUGUCAAGACGAGUCCAAAGAUUCCUUUUAGAUGUUUGUAAAUUACUACUUAUCAGAGUCAAUAUAUGUCAAGGAGUUGAAUACAGUUACCAUUUGUUGCAUUUAUUGUAGACAUGUUGUAUCAAAUCAUUUCAUCUAAAACUUCUAGACGUUUUACCACUUGAUAAGCAGACAAUUUGCUAAUCUUCAACAACCAAGUUACCCAUGCAAAUUCAGUUUCAGGGUUUAGUCCAGGCACUGAACUAGGAUCUUUUCUGUCCCUAAACCAAAAAUAUGUUUAAUUUGUCAAAGCUGGAAAAUUUUGGGAUCAAGAAGAAAAAUCUAGGUAAAUGGACAACUGCCCUUGCACCAGACAAGAGCAAAUGCAGUGAAUUCUGCUGUGCAGCAUCUGCCCAAAAAAAGUGAGCGGUUCCAACUCCCAAGCCUUCUUGAAUCCCAAGUUGGUCUCACAUGACACAAAAAAUCUUUUAGCUUUUAAAAUAUUGAAUUCUUGAACAGAUAUCUUGACCGUGAUUAAAGACUUAAUGAAAGUUCGAUCAAGCUGGAGCGUGGUGGAUCAUAUGUCACCACUCACAUGUUCUUUAGACCUGACUUGUACAAAUUUGUUGCAUGUACAGGUGAAGGAAUAAUUAAUUAUAGGAGCUAUAUUAAUCUAAUUACAUGUUCAACACUAUUAGACCAACUUGCUAAUUAAAGAAGUACCAACUGAAAGAAUCAACCACCUAAUAUGGACACUGCCAACUAAUAAAUAGAAAAGGUGAUAUAGAAAGGGCCAAUCCUAGACAAAGCACUCAAACAACUUGGUUAAUGUUAAAUCAUGACUCACAGUUUCCUUGAUCUUUCCUUUUUCUUUUUCCAUGUUACAAAGUGCUAAAGCUAAAGGAACUAACCUCAAGCAAGAACCUUGGCACCAAAGACCUGUACUUUGUAUUAACAUCCGUGUCUGAGGCAUCCCAAUAAAAAGGUGGUUUGACAUGAACAGCCCUCCCAAUGGCUGAACCACCAGCUUUCUCAUAUGGUCGAUCAAAUAUUUCCUCCCACAUGUUUUUCGCUUCUUCUAUCGCUCCUUCCUUCACAUUCACAUCAUCCCAUGCUCCAUGUACCUUUUCAAUAUGCCCUUCCAACUCCUUAGUGUCUUGAGCAUAUACUGUAGGAUAGCUCUAACAAAUUGAAUGGCAAAAAUAAAUAAACAAAAUAUGAUAGAUUAUGUGAAGCACAUAUCAAAAUUUGCACGAGUUCACGUAUCUAGAGAGAUUAUUGUUUAGCGUUUAGGGCAUACAUUCUCUUCUUAUCUUAGGACACCCAUUCUUGUAAGCUUAAAGACAAUAUAGCAGGUUUGGGGCUCAACAAACUACUGAUUGAGACUUCUGGUGUUUUGUAGCAGAUGCAAACAGUGAAGUAUAUCGCUGUACAAAAUGUUCUUGUUUUCACUACAUUAUGAAUCUAGACUGCAGUUCAAAUUGUGUGGCUACAUUUUCCAGCCAUGGAUUCACCCGUCAAAAAUUAGUAGGGCUAAUUGACAGGUAGAUUGGUGGGAGCUCCAAUCCUUACCAUACUGUCAGUCUUCCACUUGUGGUACUGGAUGUCGAGAUUUACUUUAGUGAUCAGAACAUUACUUCCAACUCUGAGGCAACAUAAUUGGCCUAUCUUGAGUACUCUUAAGCACAAUAUUAAAGUAAUGUCUACUAACUUUUAGACAAUUAUCAUAAACCAGUAAAUUAAGCCAUCUUCUACUGUUUCUGACCCAGUCAUCAAGAAGUAUGCUUCAUUUGCCCUCAUGCCCCACCACAGACCCCAAACAAGAAAAAAAAACAUACUUAGAAAAGGGCAGGAGGAUGGAAAAGAAAAAGGCUGCAGCACCACUUGUUGCUUGAUAGUGCAAAAACCUAAAAAGUAGGGAUUUUCUGUGGAGGAAGUAUGAGUCAGACUGAAGCAAAGAAAGAAUGUAUAUUUGCUAGAACCAAAAGACCACCAUGAAUUUCAGAAUAGCUCCAUUUCCAUUUGCCAGGCAAACCAUGUAGAUGUAGGUAAACCAGAAAGCUGGGAAAACAAAGAAUGAAAAAUAAAUGUGGUCACCUACCUGAUGAGUCAGCCACAUAAGUAGAACAUCUGAAGGGGGCACCAAUAGAGAGCACCUCUCGGAAAUUCUGUUCAAACUGUACAGAAAGCCUUUAUAGCUUUGUCUUGCUGCAAUCAGAUAGACAACCUCUGACCUGUAUGGCUCAUUAAAUAUGGUGUAUAAAUAUCUCUGCUUGGACACUUGAUCCAGAAGAUCUUCAUUUAUAACACAAGGCUUCUCCAAAUUUAACUCAAAUUCACUCUCAAAAGGCUCGGAUGGAUAUCUGUAUUCCCAAAUUUCUUUGCAUCUGUUCAGUGCAUACUCUUCAUUUUCUUCAUCAAAGAUCGCUGCUUUCCCAAUUAACUUCGAGAACCUUGACUUGCAAUAUUCUCUGUAACUGACCUGGAACGGAAUUCAGAAAAUAAGCAUUAUCGGUAUAAUCUUCGAUGCAACCUUACUUCAAUUUGAUCAAGAAUGAACUUUAUUUAACCCCAAAAAAUUUAACUUGGAUUGAGUACAUAAAUUUGAUGAUUUUAGCUUCAGAACACCUCUGUCUAGUGCAUUUUUUUUCUCGACUGUUAAGAGCAAUAUCAUUCUUUUAGUCUUAACUUGAAUUUCACAAUCACAAGGGGAAAAUUCUGAAUCUUUGUGGUGCAGCUAAAGCCAUUAAAUGAAAAACUUACCGGAUUCAAGGUGUGACAGAACCAAAUCCAUUCAACAUCAAGUGGAGGAAGGACCAUAGGAGGAGUUGAACCGACUGCGAGAUCAGAGAUGAGAGGCAUCCAAAGCUGAUCAUAUCUAAACAUUUAAACCAUCAAAAUUUCCAUCAGACGAUAAUUUUUUGCUAAACUAAACCACACCCAGAUGAGUUUAGCUGCUAAUAAAUCAUCCCAAAUCAAGAAAUCAGUACCUUCUGAUGGAUUCAAGAAUGCUGGGUUUCUGGUGAAGCCAGUCAGAGUCAUCCACCAGUCUCAAGAACCCAAGAUUAUGCCUUGCAGCAGCUACAAGAUCCACACUAAGUUUCACAGUUUCCUCCUCCGAUAUCUGACUUAGGCUCCUGAUUGAUCCAACAUCGUCUGAAACUGACAUUGCUUACCAAAUUCUUCACAUGCCUUCGGACACAGCACCCUAUUUGUUCAACUCAACAAAUCCAUGACAUCUUGAAAAGCAUGCUGCAUGAGCGCACACAAAAGUAGUAAAAGAACUCGGCACGUGGUACAUUUACAUUUGAUUCAACUAUAGAUUGUACUACUGAUGGGACCAGAAAAGACAAGACCAUUCAUUGGUUCCAAGAUGUAGUCAAUUGGGUCAUCAAGGGUUGUAAAUUUCAAUUUGUUCCUAGUAAUGUGCAAUGUGGAGUGCAAAUUUCAUAAUAGUAGUAUAAGCUUAUUCUUUGUAACACUGUUCUUUCCUUCUUUUUUUUUUUUUUUUGGUAUGUGGAAACAAAAAAGAAGAUGAAAAUAGUGGAGGCAUGUAUCAACGAAAAAAUCCCAUUAUAUUAUAUGAUUGCAUGAUGCAAUGUUUUAAUUAAAUUAUCUAGUAGCAGUUGAGAAUUUGCCAUGGACAUUAACGUUAGAAUUGAUUGAAUCAUGUUAAAAUUGCAACAAAUCUGUUAAAUUAACAUUAUCCCCAUUCUUGUGUGUUGUAUUUGUAGUAUUAUAUGAUGCAUAAUUUCGGUGGAAUGUUCAUCCGAUUCAACAAAGAAAUAACAGGUGUUGCAUCCUCCAUCAACGUUAUGAGAUGAUAAAUGUAUUUUUGUACAAUGAUGAGUCUUCGGUAAAGUAUAUGGUUGCUUUUCUUGACCUACUCUCUAUGGUGAGGUGUUCCCUUUUCAAUUGAAUCUCCCAUUCAACGUGGCAUAAAAAAUUAGAUAUUAAAACUACUAGUUGCAAAUGACGUUAAAUGGAAUAAUUGACGAGGCAAUACAUACAAUAAAGGCAAUAUUCUCAUUUUACAUUAAUUAGUGUACUCUUAAUGUGUACUACAAAAAAAAUGAUGAAAAGGGGGCAUUAUAACUUAAAAAAUGAUGAAAAAUGGGUAUUUUAACUUUUUGUUUAAACCUUCCACCCCAAAUGCCAGGCAUAAAAUAUAGGAUUGGAGUUUUGAACUUGAUAACAAGAAAAAUUUUAAGAGCCAUUUUCUGACCACUUAACCGGUCCUAAUGGUUGGGUUAUCGUAACAUUUGUUAUUUUUAUAUUUGGAUUUUUCUAACGAGUGCCCUUAAGGCACUUGUUAACACAUCUAGUAUUCAUCUAAUUUAUCAUAUAUAUAUAUAUACAUAUAGUAACAAUUAUUAUUCUAUCUUGCAUUUAUAUAAUUUCUUUAUUUAAUAUUGUCUACCCUUCCUUGUAUUUAUUUAUUUUUUCUAAUUAAUUUUAUAUUUUCAAAAAUAUAAUACUUGAAAUAUAUCUUAACGAGCGUACUAUGGGCACUCGUUAGACAAACCAUUAUAGGUUUAGUGCUAUUGAAUUGUAAUAGUUGUCAUGUUCACUAUUUGUGAAUCAGUUGUUCAUUAAUUGUAUUACUCCAAUUAUUAUGGGUUUCUUGUAAUCUUAUUAAAAGAAUAGAAAUGUUAUAUUAAGCGCCAUACGACUUAAAUGACAGAAACAAACUAAAUAAUGGUCCAUUUUCUUGAUUUUAGGGAUUUCUUUAUUUAUAUCUAUCGUUUAGGAAUGUCGUGAUUUUCAAUAUCUUUUUGUAAAUGGACCAAAAAAACAACUUUGUCUUUUUGAUAAAUGAACACUUCUUAAGAAUUUACUAGGCUAAUUUGAUAUUUAGUAGGUCCCUUCUUCAAAUCAGGCCAAAUGAAUUAUUCACCAGAAGUUAAGCAAAGACAGGAUGAAGAAUGUAGAAACUAGGCUAACGAGUAGAUGUGGGACAAUGCAGCAAAAAACUGAUACAAGAAGAAUACACAGAGUUCUAAAAUGAAUCGAUUGAUUGGUCCCAUCCUUUUCACUUUCGCUAUUGCACCACUAGGCACAAGGUAUCAAACCACUACUGGUAAAUCUAUGAUGAUGGGCCAAAUUUGGGGUGACGUGUGAUCAUGAUUUUUGCGUCCAAAUCUCUACCUCAUCCUGCGGCUCUUCGCUUCUUUCCGCUUAGCUUUUGGUUGAAAGUGUCCAUCUUUCAUUGCAUCAUGUCAUAAGAAAAGUUAGGUUAGCAAACUAGCAACCUAAUUUAGAUUUUCCAUAUAAAUUUUUUUUGAAAAGCAUAUAGAUUGACCUUAUAGAAUAUAAGAACAUUCCGCAUCAUAUAGAUUUUCCAAUGUUUUGAGCUUGGGUUGGGUUAAGCAGCUGUUUGAAAAUCCGUUAUUUUCUGUCAGCCAAAAAAGUAUGUAAAUACCUAAUUUAGAGGUGGGUUGGAUUAGAUGCUACGAUGGAAGGAAUUGAAACAAAAAUAAAUUUUAAAUAUUUAACUUACGGUGCAAUUGGGAGGAGGGUUGGGUUGAGUAGUACGGGAGGAGGAGGGAGUGUAAGUGAGAGUUUUUGGAUUCAAGACCCUCCACUUGCAUUUGAAGAAAGAAAAUCUUGUGACGCAAUUAAGUUCAUUAUCAUAGAAAACAAAUGUUCCCUAAAGGUCUACAACUUCCAUCAAUCCUUCUUUAUAUCCUAUUGGCACAAAAAUUUUUUUUUUUUUUGACGAGGGAUUAUUUGGACAGAAAUUUAGACUUUAUAUGUUUGGGGCUUUUGGGCACUUUAUUAACUGAAUCAUAAUACAAAAAUGGACUAUUAUUAGGGGUGGCAAUUUCUGACACGACCCGAAAACACGACACGAACCUAACACGAAAUUAAUGGGUUUGGGUUGAAGUUUUGGGGGUUCGGGUCAGAAUCGGGUCGAACCCGAUGAACCCGAAAAGAAAACAGGUCGAUUUCGGAUCAACCGGUGGUGACCUGAUAUGACCCGAUAUGACCCGUUUACAAAUUAAAAAUAAUUUAAUAAACAUAAAAAUUAUUUUAUCUAAGUAAACUAAAUCAUUCUUUUUUUUUCAAAAGCAUUAAUUACUUAAUUCUAAAUGAAUUUAUUUACCUUGUGUGAAGUUAAAAUUAUUAUAUUUGGACAAAUAAUAUAAUUCGUUUUAAUUUAUUUUAUAUUUGAUUUGGGAUAAAACAGUUUUACGAUGUUUAAUUUAUUUUGGAUUUGAUUUGAAAUUAUUUAUUUAAAUUUUUAUUACUUGAUGAUGUAAUUAAUUUUGUGAGAAAUUGAUUUUAUUAGAAUUUACAGUGAUAAAUUAAUAAAUUAAAAUUAAUUUUCGGAUCAUUUUGAAUCGACCCGCCAACCCAAAAUUUUCGAAUUCGUGUCAGAUAUACUGACCCGUCACGGGUUGACGGGUCGAGUUCGAGUCAACAGAUUUUUUGGCGGGUCGGAUCAACCUGAUUGGUCCCGAAUUGCCACCCCUAACUAUUAUAAUGUCAAAUUCGACAGUGUAGAAAAUUAAUUGUUAUUUGUCACGUAAGUACUUAUCAUCACAAAAUACAAGUACUUUCUUUAGUGAUAACAAUUUCACAUGCAGUAAGGUAACCUCAUCGUACUCAAGAAUUGUUUACAGCUUAUAGGAGUAUUAUAUAACAAUAAACGCAGUGAUUAAUUUAAUAACUCUAUGUUGUUGUAUGAAUCCACAUUAAUAUUUGGAGAUGAUAAAAUACACAUAAUCAAUCAGUAUUUCAUCAAUUCAGACGAGAACAUUCAUUAUUGUCCAAGUUCAAGUGAAAAUUUUGGAACUGAUUCCCUCCUGCCUUAUGACAGAAAAUGGAUAUUCAAUGAUAGAGAAGUAAUAAUUCAUUGAACUUCAAGAAGAAAACGUCAAGGCCGUUGCCACAACUUAAAACUUUUUUUUUUUUUUUCAGACAAUGCCUGUUUAAGAUUGAUUUUGCGUAUACCAAAAAGGGAAUUCAAUGAUGAAGAAGUAAUAAUUCAUUGAACUUGAAGGAGAAAACGCUAAGUACCUGGAGUAUUAGAGAUUGUGAUUCCAUAACUAAAUUGACAUCUUAACAAAGUGCCUUAAGUAACCAACUAAACUAUCUCUAGGUCGAGUGAUUGAAUUCCAGAAGUAGUUAGCCAAGUUCUCUUUGGGUGUCAAUCAAAGAAUUGAAUCCUUUGACUUUGCACUCGUCUAAUCCAAUAAUGAUUAUAUCCUCGUGACCUAAGUUGGUUCAAUUCCUAUCAAUUCCCCGACCGUCUGAUCUAAUAAUGAUUGUAUCCUCGUGACCUAAGUUGGUUCAGUGACCUAAGUUGGUUCAAUUCCUAUCAAUUCCCCGACCGUCUGAUCCAAUAAUGAUUAUAUCCUCGUUGGUUCAAUUCCUAUCAAUUACCCGACCACCUAAAUGAUUCUAUUCAUCGCUCCCUUCCGGUCGAUUCCCUUGACCGAAUUAAGACCUCCCUUAAAUAGGAGGUUGGUGUAAGAGAAACACAAGAGUAGUAUUGAGCCCUCCCUUAGAUACACUAACAUAGGAGUAACAGUAGGAAUAAUGUAGCUAAAAAAAAAAAUCAGCCUUGAGACCCGUGGAUUUCAUUAUGUUGUUUUUCCCCACUCUUGGUUUUUGUUCUCUCUCUUUCUUUGCUGAUCAAUUUAAGAAUGCUAAUUUCAUCAAUUAAACAAGAUAGAAACCAGGUUCAACCAGACGCCCUAGCAAUCAAAGGAAUUAUUCUUUCUUAUGGAACUCUAAAGGUUGUCACUCUAGAAGGCUGAUAUUGACAGAGAGAUUUCCAGAGCAUCUUUUGACCUUUUGCCCCAUCAAAGGUUAACUCAACUUUACACUAAAUGGAGAAUACCAAGUCAAUACGCAGGUAAAAGAGCAGAAUUGGUACUGGAAGAUAUCAUUGUACACCAAUUUUCCUUAUUUCCCUCUGAUCAAUUAUCAUGCAUUCAAGAAAAUCAAGUGUCAAACCCAUCAUCUUAUCCAUGUUUCAAGCAAAAUUGGACCCCAAAGAAAAAAAAAAGUGAAACAGAAAGUAAACAAAAGGGCUAUUCCUGUUCCCUCAGAAAAUGAUAAUUUACAAAUUUCAAUCAAAAAAUGAUUCAGAAUUAGCAUGGUUUGGAUAAGAACAUCACAGGGAACAAAAGCCCAGUUGUUUAGACUGCAAUUCAUCAAAACAGAAAAUCCCAGAUCCUAGGGCAACCUGGAAAAUAAAAAGAAGUUAAAACAAAGGAUUGAAGAAGCUCAAGCUCAGACAGAUGUUGGAAAAAAGUCCAUUCCUGGACCUUCUAGUUGGAAGCCAGAAGGCCUCAUAAUGAGCUGGGAUUAACAUUUAUCAUCAUAGCAUUCUUCCAUAUAUAUAUAUAAAAAAAAAAAAAUAAGCAAAGCCUCAGUGGAGGAACAUAGAACAAAGGCAGAAACAGAAAAAAGAAAGAAGAAAAAGCUUCAGGUAAAGCACAGAUGCAUUCGUUGGUGGUUCUAUAAACAGAAGCUGGAGAAGAAAACGGAGGGCAGGAGUGGAGAGCUGGAAGGGGAUGGCGAAGGAUUUUAUAUUUGAGAAGACAAAAGUUUAGUAGGGAUUUAGGGUUUUGGUGUGGGCUUGUGGGUGGUUGCCGUCUGCUAACCUUCAACAGAAGUACUGAAAAUCCUCUGGGCCCAAAUACGUCUCCCUGUGUUCUGGGCUCAGUCUCAGUACCCGCUAUAUUGGUGGGCCAUGUAAGGAUCUUUACUUCUAUGCGGCUUUAACACCCAAUUUAAUGGGCAGAUACAUUAGUCUGGUGGUUGUGAAGAUUCUGAUUCAACUUUUUAAAUCAUCUUUUUUUUUUUUCUUUUUUUCUUUGUAAGAUUUGGAGUCUCUGUUUGCACUAAAAAGAAAGAGAGAAGAAAAUGUAAACUAUUUGAGUUGAAUUUUGAUAAUACUACUAAAGUUGUUAAGCUUUCAACGAUUGUGUUUAAGCUCAAUAUGAUGAUGGUUUUAUAGAGCUUGAGCACAAUUUGUAUAAAUUUGAGUGAGACAACUCUACUUCAAAUUUGAACUCGAGCUAAAUGAAGGCGGAAAUUUUGCCGGGGGAAUUUGAUCAAACAUAAGGUUGAUGAAGCAAAUUUAACGUCAUUUACUAUUAUUUCUUUAGAGCUUAGGCAAAAUAUUUCAAACAAGAAUUAACACAAAAGAUAAAAUAGCUAAAAAGGAACAUGAAACAUGGUAGUACUAGAAAGCAGUUGCUUAAGAGCUAGCAUCUUUUAGCGUCUCCUUAUCAAAGCAUCAGAAAAGGGAAUGUAGUGCAAUCAAAGCCCAGCAGCCAAACAGGGCUUGAUUCAAACUCCUUCCACAUCCCAAACUGAGAAGAAAGACGCACAUAAAAUAGGCGAUUAGCAAUUUUUAAGGUGACCACGACGACGAUGAUGUUGAAACGAAGAGGUUUGGGCGCUGCUUUUUCUAUUUCUCCAUACGAGAAAGCAUCAGCUCCAUCAGAAUCAGGUACUUCUGCUGCUGCUGCUACUGCUGAAUUAGCUUUUCGUUCUGGUUCUGCUGCUGCUGUUAAGGAAAAAUACCCAUCUUGGGGUUUGAGGAAUCAGAUUAAUAAUGACAUCAAUAAUCUGGAAGAUGCACUGAGAUUGUACGAUGAUAUGGUUCGAACGAGGCCUCUGAAUAAUGUUAUUCCCUUGAAUCAACUGCUAAGCCGUUUAAUUAAGCUGAAGCAUUAUUCCUCUGCUAUUUCCCUUUUCAAAGAUAUGUGGGCUCUGGGCAUUCCGGUCAACGAAUACAUCCUUACCACAGUAGUCACUUGUUACUGCCUCGUGGGUCGAGUGGAUUUAGGGUUUUGUACAUUAGGUGCUUUCUUCAAGCGUGGUGUUGUCCCUAAUGUCGCCACCUUUGCCAUUUUACUCAAUGGACUGUUUCGAUGGGAUAGAGUUUCCCAAGCACAAGAAUUGUUCAAGAAGAUCAUCUAUCGAAAAUUGUGUGAACCGGAUGAGAAAAUGUAUGGAGUUAUAAUCGAUGGGCUCUGCAAGGCGGGGAACACCAGCAUGGCUAUUGAGUUUCUUGAAGUUUAUGCAAAAACGAAAAGUUAAGCCGAACGCUGUUAUUUACAGCUCCAUCAUUCACAGCUUGUGCAAGGAUAACAUGGUAGAUAAAGCUUUUGACCUUUUACAUGAGAUGGUGGAGAAGGGCAUUGCCCCGAAUAUCGUUACUUCCAACUGCUUGAUCCAUGGUCUUUGCAAUUUAGGUCAAUGGAAAGAGGUUGCUAGGUUACUGACUGAGAUGCAGGAUUUUCAUUGGAUGUUUUUACUUUUAGUGCUGUGAUUGAUGCUCUAUGCAAGGAUGGAGAGAUAGAAGCUGCAGAAGAUGUAUUUCAGACCAUGAUUCAGCGAGGUGAAAGACCUAACAACGUAACAUAUGCUGCUCUGAUGGACGGAUACUGUUUGCAGGGCCACAUGGAUGAAGCAAUGAGAGUUUUUAACACCAUGGUUGCCAACGGAGUUGUUCCCGAUAACUUCAUAUAUAAUAUACUGAUGAAUGGAUAUUUCAAGAAGAUGAGAGCAGAUGAUGCGCUACAUCUCCUUAAAGACAUGCAGUGUAAAGGUUUAACACUUGACACUCCUACGUACGAUACAAUCUUGAAGGGAUUGUUUACGGUGGGGAGGUCUGUUGCUGCAUGAAAAGUGUUUGAUGAGAUGCAAACGACUAACAUAAUGUCUGGCUUCUACACUUACUGUGUGAUGUUGGAUGGAUUAUGCAAGGGUGGACACAUUGAGGAAGCACUGGAUUUGUUGCACAAGGUGGAAGUUGAAAGAGCGGAUCUCAGACAUGUAUGUAUGUACAACAUCAUUCUUCAUGGACUGUGUAAGAUUGGGAGGCUAGAUAGUGCUUGAGAUCUUUUCGAGAGCCUGUCUCUUAAAGGACUGGAUCCAGAUGUUGCAACAUAUAAUACCAUGAUACAAGGGCUCUGCUCAAAAGGUUUGCUAAAGGAAGCUAAGGAGUUGGUUGUAAACAUGGAAGAGAAUGGUUGCUCGGCAAAUAGGAUCACGUACAAUGUUAUCGUCCGAGGAUUUCUUUUGGGAGGUAAAUAUGAUGAUGCACCGGUGUAUCUUGAAGAAAUGGAUAGGAGGGGAUUCCCGGUGCAUUCUUAUACUUUUUCCAUUCUAUUAAAUUCAUUAAGAGAGAGUGAAACUGAUCCUUAUCUUCUCAAGAUAAUCCAGAAGUUUGUUCCAAAUAGAAAGGUUUGAGUCAUAAAUAUAGAGGAGGCUUGACUAUGGGCAGCAUGUUUUCCCUAGUCUUUCUCCUAAACAAUUGAAUCAUGAUCGUGCAACAUAUAACACGGCAACAAAUGGCUCUUGUUUGAGGGUUUGCUGAAGAUGCUAAAAAGUUUGUUUAGAGAUUGAGAGAGAAUGGUUGUGCACCAAAGGUAUUGUCCACCAACUCUUUGAGGUUAGUAAAUAUGAUGAUGCAGGGGUAUGUUAUGAUGAAAAUGCAUAGAAGAGGAUUCUGAUUGCUUUGUCAACUUUGUACAUUUUGCUUUGGAUAAUUGAGAAGUCUGAUAUUUCUCAACUACGAGAUUUCAGAGUCAUAUAAAUGCAGGAUAAAUAUGAUGGUGCAGGGGUAUGUUGUGAUGAAAUGCAUGGGAGAGGAUUGUGACUGCUUUUGUCUACUUUGUAGGCUUUGCUUCGUUCAAUUAAAGAGGAUGAAAGUGAUCUUUCUCUUGUUUUGGAUACUUGAGGAGUCUGAUUUUCUUAACUACAAGAUUUCAGAGUCAUAAAUGCAGGACUAUAUUGGAUUGCUGGAUAUCAAAGUGCUCUUCUGCUCCUAAGAUUUAAUUUUGUUGGAAGGUACAUGCUGCAGAUUCACAAUUACUUUUGAUCAGAAUAUAGGUUUAAGAUUGAAUACAACUAAUCCCUUGAGGAGCACUUUUGGGCAUAUUCAGGGAAGUCUGAGAUAUUAUAACCCUUGAAUUAAUUAAAUUAUCAAAUCGUGUUUGAACUUGUAGAUAAUUGACGCAUUAAAGCUUAAUAGGAGGCUCAAAUAACAGUUUCAGUCAAUACAUCUUAACAUAUGUUCUUUUCAUUAUACAAGAAUAGCUAUGCAUUAUUGAUAAAAUAGUAUUAGAAAUAGAAAAAAUAUACACAUGAAUCAAUCUCAGAACUUACAUUUUAAACCCACAAAAGAUUUAGAUCGAGUCAGACGGUUUAAAAACUAGUGGAUUUGUUUAUAACCCUACUCAUGGGUUCAGCAGGCAUAAAAAGAUUCAUGCAUUUAUCUUCCAGAUAUUAUAAAAAAAAAAAAAAAAAUGGUGGGAUGCAUUUAAUUUUUUUCCCCAAGGAGCCUCAACAUCAUCUGGUUCUCGGAUCUCAAUCUGCUGCUUAAUUUCAGUAUUAAAAAGAAUUAUGAAUUGACCGCUUUGUGUAUUAAAAACUAGAGUACUUAAAGUACAUUUGUAGCCCAAAUACUCCACUGCUUUGUAAUGAAUACACACACAAAUCAUAUUGUUAACUUGCAAGGCUUAGAGUUAGUAGAAGAAAAUAACCUGUCUCCUGAUUUGAUUCUUGAACUCCUUCUUUCCUUCUUUCUUUUCGCAGGGAAAAUGAUUAAAAAGGAAUGGGUUCGGAUGAGAGCAUGUGCUUUAGGCUUUCUUCAACUUACCUGAAUCCGGAUGGAAAUCUUACUUAAGCUGGCUGUCUUCUUUUCCUUCAUCGAAGUCCUCAUGGUUCAACCUGCAAAGAGAAUUUAGUUUGACGGGCUAAACAUCAACAUAUCUGUGUAUAACAUAAUAGAAUAUUUUCCAAAACUAACAAUACACAGAGACAGAGAAGAGCCUCCAUCAGCAAUUUGGAACAUAUAUGCAUGACUUUUAUCCCUUCCAAUUUGGAACAGGUUUCAGAAUCAUCUUGGAGAAGAGAUGGAUCAUUUUCACUCUAAAUGCAGUGGGAAUCCUCUCUUUAUCCCUUCCAUUUUGGGUGCAUAACUAGUUCCACGCUCAUAAUGUUUUGGUAUCCAAAUGUUCUCUUUUUGAAAAAAUAAUACAACGGCCCCUUUUGAGAUGGGAUGUACGUGAGAUGAAAGGUAGCUCAAAAACAUAUCAAGGGAAUAUAUUCCCGAAAAAUUUUUUCUGAAGACUCGCAAUCCAAAAGAUAUAGAGAGAUAGGGACAUCACACCCUAGUGCCCCAUUGAAAUCAUCAGUUUAACGAGCCAGCUCCCCAAAAGUUCGCAUCUGGUGAACAUUCAUCCUUCCAGAGUGGACCUGUAAUAUCAAUUCAUCAAGGAAAAAUCAAUUAACAAUUAUUACUAAAUCCAAAAAUUGUAAGGAUAAUGGUGGAGUUUGAUGAUUAAGCAGGAACAAAAAAAUAAUCUCAAUUAGCGAGUACACCAGCAGGAUCGGGAUCCCUGGUUCCUUCAGAUGGAUGGGGGACUAAAUUGCUGAUCAAGUUGACUUGAUCUUAUCAAGGCAGGGUCUAGAAUGAAGUGCAAUUAAAAUGAAGCUAUUUGACAAGCAAGUUCCAGCUCAAGAAGCUUUGCCAUACAAAAGGACCCGGAAAGAAAUCUCAAAAUGAAAAACAACCUCAUGAUCAGCAUUUUAGAGCCAAAAAAAUGUGUUUUUUUCCUCUUUUUUUUUUUUUUUUGGUUCAAUCACAAAAUGAUACAAUUCACUUCAGGUUGCCAUCCUGUUUCCUAGUAAAAAGUGAUUAAAAAAAUUCAAUUGCAAUUAGAUUACUUUUCGCACGUCUCUCCCUAAUUCCCCUGUGAAUUGCUCACGUUGAAAGUCAGUUUCAAGGAACUGAAAAGAUCUGUGCAACACUGUAUGCAAACUCUGGCAACAGGACCUAUUUUUUGUUUCAAAACGUUAAUUUAAAACCUGAUAAGUAGAACCUGCAGGCUGCAAAACCUUUGUUUCAGAUGUUAAAGUCUCAUAAAAUGUGGCGAGAUAUCUUGCAAUGGCAGUCAGCAGUCUAUGACAAGAAUAAACUUCUUAAUGACUUCUACGCAAAGUCGGUUUGCUAAUCCUUAAAAAACAACUUAAUAAACAAGUUUAAUGCACCAGUGUGAGUAUAGCAUGCUCCAGCCGCUAAGUUGCUCAAAAAUUGUAGAACAUAAACAUUCUUAAUUCUUCAAAACAACUUUAAGCUGAGUUAACAUUUACUGAAAGUUUUAACUCAAAGACUCCAAGAAGAGCAAAGAGUAAUACAAAAGGCCAUGAGACAGAAAAUUAUCCAUUCCAAGGUAAAACUCAAGAAAAAAAAACACUAAUUAUAAUAAAAAUAAAUUCACUGCAGGAUAACCACAGAAGAGUACUUUCAGUUUAUUGGCCAACAAAAGGAGCCAAGGAUCACAAUAUUAAGGUUGGGGUUCCUGAAUUAUAUAUAUAUAUAUAUAUAAUAUUUCCAACAUUUACCUGAUGAACACCUAUUUACAAAACCUAUUCCAGGAGAAUGAAGGCUCAUUUCCUAUCCUUUUAGGGCAUCUGAUUCAUUCCCCUUAACCGCAAGUCCAGUGUAAUGCUCAAUGCCACGACAACGAAAAAGUGACCACCUACCAGAAGUAGCAUUUUGGACAAACCAAGAAUAGCGUUGAUAUGCCAAGCAAAUGGCAAAAACAUGUAUCCACUCCAACUAAGAGAGUCUAAAUAAACCUUCAAAGCAUUAACCUGAAAUCAAUGACAUCAAACUUCUACUGAAGUGCCCAGGAGUGCUUUUGAAAGGCUGGUUGUUAACAUUCUUCAACAGGAAAGAGAUAAUCAUUGGAAAAAAGGAGCAGACUUCGUUACUUGAAACAUAUAAUUUCACAGAAAAUGAUGCUUCAGAGGCAACAUGAGUCCAAGGAUUGCAAACAGUUGCAAUCUACUAAAAGAUACCCUGUGCCCUUUAUUCACCACUUUAUUCCUUCAUAUUGGGAACAAACUUCUGAAUUAUCUUAAGAAGAUAAGGAUCAUUUUCACUCUUUUUUAAUGAAUUCAACAAUUUGGAAAAAGUAUGUGAAUGCAAUGGGAAUCCUCUAUUGUCCAUUUCUUCAAGAUGCACCAGUGCAUCAUCAUAUUUACCACCCAAAAGAAGUCCUUGGACAAUAACAUUGUAUGUGAUCCUAUCUGCCGAACAACCAUUCUCUUCCAUCUUUAUGAAAAAGUCCUUAGCUUCCUUAAGCAAACCUUUUGAGCAGAGGCCUAGAAUCAUGGUGUUGUAUGUUAUAACAUCAGGAUCCAAUCCUUUGAGAAAAAGACUAUUGAAAAGAUCUCGAGCACCAUCAAGCCUCCCACUUUUACACAAUCCAUCAAGAAUGAUGUUGUACAUAGUUAUAUGUUUGAGAUCCAAUCUCUGAAUUUCCAUCUUAUGCAACAAAUUCAAUGCUUCCUCGAUGUGUCCACCCUUGCAUAAUCCAUCCAACAUCACACAGUAAGUAUACCGGUCAGAUAUUAUGGGAGUCAUUAGCAUCUUGUCAAACACUUUUCUUGCAGCACCAGACCUUCCCACCCUAAACAAUCCCUGCAAGACUAUAUUGCAUGUAACAGUGCUAGGUGUUAAACCUUUACACUGCAUUUCUUCAAAAAGAUGUACAGCAUCAUCUGCGCUCAUCUUCUUAAAAUAUCCAUUGAUCAAUAUAUUAUAGUUGACACCACUCGGAACAACUCCAUUAGCAACCAUGGUGUCAAAAACUCUUCUUGCUUCGUCCACUCGGUCCUGCAAGCAGUAUCCAUCCAUCAAAGCACCAUAUGCCACGCAACUUGGUCUCUCACCUUGCUUAAGCAUGGUUUGAAAUACAUCUUCUGCAGCUUCUACCUCUCCUUCCUUACAUAGUGCAUCAAUCACAAUACCAAAUGUAAAGACAUCUCGUAUGAUGUGAAAAUCAUUCAUCUCAGUCAGCAGCUUAGUAACCUCUUUCCAUCUACCAAAAUUGCAAAGACCCUGGAUCAAACAAUUGUAGGUAACAACAUCUGGGGCAAUGCCUUUCUCAACCAUCUCAUGUAAAAGGUCAAGAGCUUUAUCUACCAUUUUAUCCUUGCACAAGCUGUCAAUGAUAGUGGUGUAAAUUAUGGCAGUCGGUUUAACUCUUCCUUCUUUACCCAUAACUCUGAGAAAUUCAACGGCUUUGCCUGUGUUCCCUGCCUUGCAGAGUCCAUUAAUCACGGUUCCAAACAUGACCCCAUUGGGUUCACAUAAUUUUUCACAGAUGAUCUUCCCAAACAAUUCUUGCGCCCGGGGAACCAUGUGCUGUCGAAAGAGUCCCCUGAGCAAAGUGUUAAAGGUGGUCACAUCAGGGACAAUACCGUACUUGAAGAAAACCCCCAAUAUACAAAAUCCCAAAUCCACUCGAUUCAAAAGGCAGUAACAAUUGAUCACAGUAUUCAGGGUGUAAUCAUCAACCUGAAUGCUCAAGAAGUACAUAUCUUUGAAAACGCAAAUAGCAGGAGAAUAAUGCUUCAUCUUAACAAUACGGCUAAGGAGUUGAUUGAAGUGAAAAACGUAAGGCACAGGCCUGCUUCGAACCAUAUCAUUGUAUAAAAACAGAGCUUCUUCCAGAUUAUUGAUAUCGUUAUUAAUCAGAUUUGUCAAAACAACAGGUGGGGAGUCCAUAGCAUCAGCAGCAGAAUGAAAGGAUGAUAUGGGUUUUGAAUAGGGGUUUGGAAGGAGAAAUGUAGCGGCAGUACAAGUACUAGUAGCAGUACCUAUUUCAGCUGAUUCUUUCUGAAACAUAGAAAUAGAGACAAUAGAACCAAAAGCUCUUCUUUUUAACAUCAUGGUUGUCUUCCUCACCAUAAGAUUGUUAAUCAGGGAGAAGAAAGCCAGAAUCUUGAAAAGAACACAACAAGAAGUCUGAGGAGGGUCAUUUAAAUUUACAAGAAGGAAACCCUUUUUCAGUUUAUUGGAUUUGGAGCUGUGCAAAUUUUUACUGCCUAACGUGCAUUUCAAAUUGUAGGGUUCCAAACAAACAAGGCUCUUAACUUAACAGUUCGGGAUCGAUUUAAACCCAAUUUCAGACAAGUUUGAGUCCUGGCUGGAACAAGAACGGAUUGUUAAAUUUGGACAGGAGAUUGUUUAGAAUAAAUUUUCAAAGGGAUAAUUUCAGAAACCUCCGAGGUUUCUGAUAAUUGCAAAGACCUUUCCUCAACUUUAUUAAAUUACGCCUGCCUUCCUUGCUUUUACUGUUUAUAAAAUAAUAUAGGUCCAAAAGAUUUUUUUUUCUCUUAAAAAUCUUAAACUACCCUUUUUGUACAAAAAUAAAAUAAAAAUUAUUUUGCCAGUUGUUUUCUUCUAUAUUUCAACCAAACCUAUCAUACUAACAAACUAGCUUAACAAAUAGUUUAAUUUCAAAUUCUAAACCCAAGCAAUUCCAUUAUCAUAGGCAUGGAUGGAAUUAAUCAAGUUUAAGAUAAGGAAAUGCAUCAUCAUGACUAUAGAGAUUUUUAAAAAAUUCAUUUUGCCAAAAAUUUCAAACCCAAUGCCGACAUCUUCUCAAAACAAAAUAAUCUAACCUACCAUGAAAUCUUCAAAUAUGUUAACGUCUUAAAUACAGAGAAAAAACUCCAUCUCCAUAACGAAAACCACAACCAACAAUUGUCAAGUAUAAAAAAAAUAUAUAAAUGUACUUAUUAACAUCUUAAAAAGUUUUUUGGAUGAAUGAUAGACAAAUUAGCAAAUUUACCAAUUUCAAUUCCUCUUCCUCUUUUGGAAAAUGAUUGCAUUAUUUGUUCCAUUAUUAUUGUGUAUUUUUCAUCUCCUUUUAGUUUAACUAUGAAAUCAAAUUUUACUUCAAUCAUCAAAUCUAAUCCCUUAACUAAAUUUGUAAUUUGGCAAUUCUAAAGAGAAGAAAGGAGGAAUAGGAAUAUAUAGGAGAGUUUGAGGGAUCAUUUGUGGUGUGAUUGGUUACAAUUAUACAAUAGUUAGUAAUAAUUUGAGAGCAAGUUAUAAGAUGCAGCGGUUGAUGGAUGAGAACAGAGUGAUAAUAAGUGAGAGAGAAUCAUCAUUAAUUGUAACUUGUAAAUAAGAUAGUCGAAGAGGUUAGGUUUCUUUUUCUUUUUUUUCAAUCUCAUUUCAUUAUACUAUGAAUUAUUUAUUAAGUGAAGGUCAUUGUAAUCAUUUUAUUGUGAUAAGGGAGGUCAGUGUAAUUUGUAAAACUUGAGAGGAGCUGAGUGAAAUUAUCAUAAACCACAGGGGAGGUUUGGGAAAUUAUCCCAUUUUCAAAUUCUGACAGGUUUGAGUUCUAGCUAGAACAGGAAUCAAUUGUUAAGUUUGGAUACGAGAUUAUUUGGAAUAAUUAUUUGUAAAAAUCCUAUAGCGAUUUUUGUAAUAUGAGAUGCGUAACGUAUGUAAGAUAAAGAGAUAUUUAAAAUAAAAUUAGUUUAAAAAUGUGCAUACAACUCACUUCACAUUAUAUAUAUAUGCACUAGUAAUAGUUCACGUACUUUGCAUGUGAUUGUAAUAUUUUAAAAUAUAUUAUUCUUUACUAAAAAUUUUUUAUGAAAAUUUGAUCAUCAACAUUAUAAUAUAGUAUUUUUAUGUUAUUUAUUUUUGUAACCUAGUUACUUUUAAAAUUUUUAUUAAAUGAAAAGAGAUAGAAAACAUCCAAUGUAGUUGACAUAUCCCUUACGAUUAAAUUUGAAAUUAUGAACCAAAUACUUUUUUAUUUAUAGCUUGAAUUCUAACAUAUCAAAUAUUGAUAAUAUAUGAUCCAUCACGUAAAGUUUUUUUGGCUUGUACAUUCUAACAAUUGAAAUUUUAUAAAUAAAGAUAGUUGGAGUUUUUCUAUUUUCCUUUUCUUUUAUUCAUGUUUUUGGCACACUCCAGUGUGAAGCAAAAGCAACUAGUCUACUUUUGUCAUAUGGCCACAAUAUUUUUGGUUUUAGUAUUAGUUUUUUUGAUGAUCAUGGAACUAGAAUGAGAAUUGUGGCUAAUUAAUAAUUUUAAUAUUAACUUUUUGUAUAGUGCAGUGUUUUAUUUUUUAAUUGCCAACUUUUAAUUCAUAACUGCUAUCAUUAUUAUCAAUUAUUUGAACGCACUACAUCUGUCUAAUUACAAUUGUCACCAUAAAUGAAAUUUACUUAAUUUUAAAGCUUUUCAUUCGUUUAUAGUCCUAAUAACGGAUUCAUCAAAAUUUGAUUUGCUUCAAUUCGUUUAUGGUCCUAAUGACGGAUUCAUCAAAAUGAUUGUAAAAGCUUUGGAGUGUUUCAUAUCUAAAAAGUCAUAAGAAAAAAAUUACCUUAAUGAUCUUCACUUACAGGAGUUAUCCAUAGAUAUGCAGAAAUCUGAUGAAGCUCUUAAGAAAAUUUAAGUUUUUCAUUUGUCUAAUAAUAGGCACUCAGUUAUCUUGUGUUGUGUUAGGUUACCUGUUGCUUGGUUCCAGGACAAAUUAACAAUUCCCUUAUAUUACUUGAUGCUUAUUAUUGCUUUUUGUUUUAUGGUCUCUCUGGGAAAUAUAAACUAAACAAAAAGGGCCAAGCUAGCUUAGAAUGGGAAAUGACCAAAGGCUUUCGAUCCUCAAAUGGUUACAGACGGAAACAGGAUGAAGCAGAUAGUCACUCACAUAACUGCUGUUUGUCAAUCUCCUUAUAAACUCAGGCUCAAAAUCUAUUUCUUGUUUGGAAAGGGAUUUUCUAUCAAAAAAUCUCUACGUUUUCCGUGAAUACAUUUCCCAAUCAACUUUUUAUCUCACAUAUAUCAAAUCCUUACAGUACAUUUUCUACGAAACUCCAGAAAAUUGCAAUCCAAACGCAACAACUUAGGGUCAAUUACAGAAUGUAUUAUUGUUUAUAAUACAUAACAUGCCGCCUGUUAAAGCUGCAUUUCGUUGGUGAAUGCCAAAAUUUCCCACUUCUUAGUCAUACAUCAGGUCCUCUGACUACAUGGCUUUUCUUGCCAAAGUGCAUUGUGCCUGUAUAGAAAUGAGGAUCCACUUGAAAAUAGGAUGAGUAUACCCGGUGGGAUUCAUUUAUCUUUUCACAAGCACUUUCAUCGUUGAAAGGAUCUCUUUCUCCUGCAUCAUACAUACAAUUUUCAGAAGUUUCAUUGAAGAAACUUGGGCUUUGGUGAAAAUGGCCAAAGCCUCCUGCUGAAUUGUACUCAAUAGAAUUCACUUUCACUGCUAUGUGUGUCCAGAAAUAGACACAUCUGUGGUCCGAUUAGUCCAAUGCUUUGUGUCUUUAAAAGUAAGUACAUACAAAUCAAAUUGAUAACCUUUUUUGAAAAAAAAAAAAAAAAAAAUCCCCGGCAAGGGAGGAGUGGGACUCAAAAAGCAGGGAGAGUGCAGUAGAAUUUAAAUCCAAAAUCUCUAAUUCGUCGGGCUUCAAAUUUAGCCAUUAGAUCAAAUCUCUUCAAACAAAUCAAAUUGAUAAUUUAUAACAUGGUACUGAAAUUUAAUCUUUCCCAUGACACCUUUUUUUUUUCAUCUGGUUUUGUUCUUGAACUCUCUUUCAUUACUUUUUCUUUUCCCGGGGAAAGGGAUAAGAAAGAUGGAUUUGAAUAGGAGCACCGCCAAGUCACUGGACUUGACCGCCAAUACUUUUUUUACAUUGCUGCAUAGGUUGGAUGAUAACACAGAGCAGCUUAGAUGAUUCUUAAAGAACAAGUCAACAAACAAGUGAAAAACAUGAGUAUAGUAGUUUUACACCAGCAGCUGAGUCUCCUAAUAAGCACAAGUUCAACAAUCCUAAUUCUUGAAAACAACUUAAUGCUGAACCAUUACUAACUGAAAGUUGCAACUCACAAGAGUCUGAGAAGAGCAGGGAAUUACCGAAAAGGCAAUUAGAGCAGUAGCAACGUGUUGACUGCAUGACACCCACAGAAGAACACUUACCAGUAUAUUUGUCAACAAGAAGAGCUUCAGAGUAUAACAUGGAGCCUGGGGAUUCUCCAUUGCACUUUUUCGUACGUAUACCUGAGAUGAAGGCCUUCCCACUAAAACUCAUUCAACAAUGUGAAGGCUCAUAUGCCAUCCCUUUUAAGGAGUCUUAUUCAUUCCCCUUGCUGCAAGUUCAGUGUGAUGCAUGCUGCCACAGAAAUGAAAGAAUGGUACCCUACCAGAAGUAGCAUUUUGAACAAAACCAAGAAUAAUUACAAUAUGAUAAGAAGACAGCAAAAACAUGCAUCCACUGCUACUGAGAGACUCAUUAGACCUUGAAAGCAUUGACCUACAAACAGCAGACAUUAAGAUUCCAACAAAGUGCCCAAAAGUGCUACUACAAGGCUUGAUUGUUAAUAUUCUUGAACGUGGAUGAUGCAAUUACAAGACACAAGAUCACACUUCAAAACUCAGGACAGGCAAUAUGAGUACGACACCAGAAGUAGCAUUUCGGACAAACCCAGAAUAGUUUUGAUACAACAAGCAAACGGCAAAGACAUGUAUCCACUCUGACGAAGAGAGUUUAAAUAAACUUUCAAAGCACUAACCUAAAAGCAAUGACAUCAAACUUUCGCUGAAGUGUCCAGGAGAGCUUUUGAAAGGCUUGUUGUGAACAAGCUUCAACAAGAAUGAGAGAAUCAUUGAAAAGAAGACCAGACUUCCCUAUUUGAAACACCUACUUCCCAGAAAAUGAUGUUUCAGGGGCAAUAUAAGUGUGACAUCCAGGGAUCGCAAACGGUUGCAAUCAACUAGAAGACACCCUGUGCCUUUUAUUCAUGACUUCAUUCCUUAAUAUUGGCAACAAACUUCUGAAUUAUCUUCGGAAGAGAAGGAUCACUUUCACUCUCUUUUAACGAAUUUAAUAAAAUGGAAACGGUAGGUGAAUGUGGAGGGAAUUUUCUCUAUUCCAUUUCUUCAAGAUACACCAGUGUAGCAUCAUAUUUACCACCCAAAAGCAGUCCUCAGACAAUUACAUUUCACAUGAUCAUGUCUGCCAAGCAACCAUUCUCUUCCACCUUUACAAAAAGUCCUCAGCUUCCUUUAGCUAAUCUUUUGAGUACCGCCCUUGAUUCAUUGCAUUACAUGUAACAAAAUCAGCUUCCAUAUUCCAUACAUAUACUUUACCAGAAAAUGAUAUUCAGAGGCAAUAUGAGUGACAUCCGAAGAUCAUAAAUCAUUGCACUAUACUAAAAGAUACCUGUGCCUUUUAUUCAUGACUUUAUUCCCUCAUAUUGGGAACAAACUUCUGAAUUAUCUUGAGAAGAGAAGGAUCAUUUUCACUCUCUUUAACUGAAUUUAAUAAAAUGGAAAAGGUAUGUGAAUGAAGAGGGAAUCCUCUCUUAUCCAUUUCUUCAAGAUACACCAGUGCAUCAUCAUAUUUACCUCCCAAAAGAAAAACUCGGACGAUAACAUUGUACGUGAUCCUAUCUUCCGAGCAACCACUCUCUUCCAUCUUUGCGAGAAACUCCUUAGCUUCCUUUAGCAAACCUUUUGAGCAGAGCCCUUGUAUCAUGGUAGUAUAUGUUGAAACAUCUGGAUCCAGUCCUUUAAGAGAUAGGCUCUCGAAAAGAUCUCGAGCACUAUCAAGCCUCCCAAUUUUACACAGUCCAUGAAGAAUGAUGUUGUACAUGCAUACAUGUCUGAGAUCCGCUCUUUCAACUUCCACCUUGUGGAACAAAUCCAGUGCUUCCUCAAUGUGUCCACCCUUGCAUAAUCCAUCCAACAUCACACAGUAAGUGUAGAAGUCAGACAUUAUGUUAGUCGUUUGCAUCUCAUCAAACACUUUUCUUGCAGCACCAGACCUUCCCACCCUAAACAAUCCCUGCAAGACUGUAUUGCAUGUAUCAGUGCUAGGUGUUAAACCUUUACACUGCAUUUCUUCAAAAAGAUGUAGAGCAUCAUCUACUCUCGUCUUCUUAAAAUAUCCGUUGAUCAAUAUAUUAUAGUUGACACUACUUGGAACAACUCCAUUGGCAACCAUGGUGUCAAAAACUCCCCUUGCUUCAUCCAUUCGGCCCUGCAAACAGUAUCCAUCCAUCAAAGCUCCAUAUGUCACGCAAUUUGGUCGCUCACCUUGGUCAAUCAUGGUUUGAAAUACAUCUUCCGCAGCUUCUACCUCUCCUUCCUUACAUAGCGCAUCAAUGACAAUACUAUAGGUGAUAACAUUUAGAUGAAUGUGAAAAUCCUUCAUUCGAGUCAGUAAUACCUUAGCUUCUCUCCAUCUACCAAGAUUGCAAAGACCCUGGAUCAAACAAUUGUAGGUAACAACAUCUGGGGCAAUUCCCUUCUCCACCAUCUCAUGUAGAAGGUCAAAAGCUUUAUCUACCAUUUUAUCCUUGCACAAGCUGUCAAUGAUAGUGCUGUAAAUUAUGGCAUUCGGUUUAACUCUUCCUUCUUUACCCAUUACUCUGAGAAAUUCAAUGGCUUUACUAGUGCUGCCUGCCUUGCAGAGUCCACUGAUUAUAGUUCCAAAUAUAACCACAUUGGAUUCACACAGCUUUUCUUGAAUGAUUUUGAUGAACAAUUCUUGCGCCUGAGAAAUCAUGUGCUGUCGAAAGAGUCCCCUGAGUAAAGUGCCAAAGGUGGCCACAGUGGGGGCACUGCCAUUCUUGACGAAAAGCCCCAGCGCACAAAAUCCCAAAUCCGUUCGUUCCAAGAGGCAGUAAGAAUUAAUCAAGAUAGUCAGGGUGUACUCAUCAACUGGAAUGCCCAAAAACCACAUAUCUUUGAAAACUGAAAUCGCAGAAGAAUAGUGGUUCAUCUUAACAAUGCGGUCAAGGAGUAGAUUGAAGAGAGCAACACAAGGCAGAGGCCUCAUCCGGACCAUGUCAUUGUACAAUCCCACAGCAUCUUCCAGAUUAUUGAUCUCAUUAUUACUCAUAUUUGUCAAAUAUCCAGGUGGGUAUUUCAUAGGAUCAGUAACAGCAGCAGAAGAAUAGAAAACUAAUUUGGAUUUCCUGUAUCGGUCUUGAGAGACAAGCGAAACGCCAACAGUAGUACCCGAUGCUUUCCCAAAUUGAAAAGCAGAAAUAACAGCAGCAAAAGCUCUCCGUUUCAUCAUCGUCGCCGUCGUCUACGUCUUCGUCUUCAAAUUUGCUAAUCAGAUAAAACAGCUGCUUCUCUGCAAGAUGAAACUGUGAAUGGGAAAGGAGUGGUGGGUCGGUGGGAUAAUUCAAAAGCCAAUAAUACUAUGCUCAUCUUCUUCAUGUAAAUGUAGUAAUAAAGAGUUUCUUUUCUUUUUCAUCUUGUUUUCACUUUUAACGUUCUGUCGCUAAGGAAUGAGAUUUCUUUUUGGCCUUUUACAACUUCUCCUUUUGGGUUAGCUUAAAAUUGUUUCAAACUUUGCUAACUUUUCUGAAUGAAAAUCUUGGUAAUUGACUGAUAACUUGGUAAAAUCGGUGACAAGUGAUUAGUGAUAGAUGAUUAAUCUAAUACACUCUUGCUCACAUGGUGUGCCCAAUACCUUUUUACCGUAUUCUUGUUUGAUAAUACUAAGUUUGGAAAGUUCUUUUAAAAAAGAACAAAAAAAAAAAAAACUUGAGGAAAAAUCAUAUAGGUUAGUGUUGUUCAAAUGAACGGGGAGAUUUUACCGCUCUCUCGAAGAUUAUAUCCUCAAGUUAAAUUGAUAAGCAAUUAUUUUUUACUUCUAAAUUCUAACCAACAAUUACAAAUAAUAAGUUUCAAAUCUAAUUUGUAUAUUAAAAAAAUUACCAUAUAUGACAAGCUCUACCGAUUCCUUGUAGUGGAGUCUCUCAAUAUGUCAUUAUUAAAUAAAAUUUCAUUGACAAACGAAUAAAUACGAGAUGAAAUGCUUACUUUUCUUUUCUUUUUUCACAUUUCCCAGAUGGGAAGUUUAUUUUCCCGUCGACCUAUUGUCAAAGUUAGAUUAAUAAAAGAUUUUCUCUUUUUUCAAAAGAGCAGGAAUAAGACCUUUAGUUAAAAAUUAUAUAUAUAGUCAUUGAGGGAUACAAACUGAAUGAAUAGUUCCUCGAAAGAACCAUAGAACUCCUCACUCCUAAUAUUUUGGUAUCCAAAUGUUCUCUAUUUGAAAAAUAAUAUUACAGCCGUUUUUUAGAUAGAUGGAAUGUACGUGACAUAAAAGGUAAUUCAAACAACAUAUCAAAGGAAUAUGUUCCCAAAAAAAAAAAAAAAUUUUUUUUUUUCCGAACGCUCACAACCCUAACAAGCUCUCAUUAUCUAACCAACAGUUAGAAACAGACCAACACACCAAGAAUAAAGACGUGCGAAGAUAUAGAGAGAUCAGACCCUGGUGAGCCAGCUCUGCAAAAGUUCACACCUGGUGAACAUUCAUCCUUCCAGAGUGGAUCUGUCACACCAAUUCAUCAAGCAAAAAUCAACUAACAAUUAUAACUAAACCCAAAAAUUGUAAGGAUAAUGGUGGAGUUCGAUGAUUAAGCAGGAAAAAAGAUAAUCUCAAUCAGUGAGUACACCUGCAGGAUCAGAUCCAUGGACCCUUCAGAUGGAUGGGGCACUAAAUUUCUGAUGAAGCUGACUUGAUCUUGUCAAGGCAGGGUCUAGAAUGAAGGUGCAAUUAAAAUGAAGCUAUAUAACAAGCAAACUCCAGAUGAAGAAGCUUUGCCAUACAAAAGGACAUGGAAAGAAAUCUCAGAGUACAAAACAACCUCACGAUCAGCCUUUUAGAGCCAAAAAAGAAAUGUGUGUUUUUCUUUUCAUUUUUUUUUUCCAUUUACGAUCACGAAAUGAUCCAAUUCACUUCAGGUUGCCAUCCAAUUUUCUAUUAAAACUAAUUAAAAAAAAAAAAAUUAAAUGCAAUUAGAUUGCUGUUUGCAUGUCUCCCUAAUUCACCUGUGAAUUGCUCAUGUUGAAAGUUCAGUUUCAAGGAACUGAAAAGAUCUUCUCACCACUCCAUGCACACCCUUGCAGCAGGACCUAUUUUUUGUUCCAAAAUGUUAAUUUAAAACUUGGGAAGUAGAACCUGCAGGCUGCAAAGUGCAAAUCUUACAUAAUGCCCAUGGUUGGGCCCACUCCCCACAUGAACGACAACAGCAAACAAAGAGUAUUCAGAAUCGGCGUUUUCCACAGUGUUGCUCAGUUUCAGCUCUAGAGUAGAGGGAACACUACGCGAUACGACAACUUCUUGUAUCGACCAAGUUGUUCCAUGUAUUUGAAACGCUUCAGAUGGAUGACUAGAAUUUGAGGUGGCUUUUUAAUCUUCAUCCUCUUUUGAGCCUCUUGCAGGCUACUGCACUUGUCACAGAAAAACUUAUCCUCCGCAUUCAAGGUUUCUGUGGAACUGAAGUUUUUGAGACAGCUAGUGAUAGAACUAUUCUGUUCAAUAUCAAGGCUCAAGUCAAAGAAUGUCUCAUCCCUUGCUGUGACCGUCUCACACCUUAGACACCUUGUCUCAUUGGUAAGUAUUCCCUGAAAAUUCUUGUGUACCCAUGUAACCAGUGGCUCCUUGACACCAUUUGACCGACCAUUAUUCUGCCCAUUAGCAAUCCUUUCCUGAGAUGGUGGACAUUUUGCUGCUUGCGACUCUUUCUCCAGUAUAUCAACAAGUUCAUUGAGCAAGAAGUUCAAAAAUUCAUGGGCAUCCUGAUGCAUGUAGCCACGGAAAAGUUCAUUUUGUUUUCUCACUCUCUGAACAAAACGCUUUGGUGCAAUGACACCUGUUUUCUUCUUUUGUGAACUUAUCUGCGAGAACAGUUCUGCCAAACAAGUCAAGAGAUUUUCUUCUGCUUCCCCUAGAGUUUUCCCAUUUGCAUAAUACUCUAAAAAGUUGUUCCCUAAAUGGUACACACAAGUAUAACGCCUGCAAGACACUGUUGCAAUAGCAAGUAUUCCCAAAAUUUUCAAGGCCAAAAUAGCGUUCUCCUUCAGGAAACUGGUCUCCGAGGGCCUUCUCGAGCUUGGAACCCGUGGCACCCAUUACUUGGAGACCAUCUACAAGAUACCAAAACUCCUCUAUUAUUUUUCUUUUUUUUAAUCCAACAAUCUUGUUUGCUGUUGUAAUUUGCAUAAGAUACUUGACAUUUGAAAAAGUAGGCUUCUGAGAAGUCAAGAAAACUCAACUUAUUUAAGAAUGACUCUAAAGAAAGCAGGGCUCUUGUACAUUGCAACCUAAACCACAAUCAACUUAUUUAAGAAUGACUCUAAAGAAAGCAGGGCUCUUGUACAUUGCAACCUAAACCACAAUCAACUUAUUUAAGAAUGACUCUAAAGAAAGCAGGGCUCUUGUACAUUGCAACCUAAACCACAAAUGUAAUAGUAGGCUAAACAUCACAGUUUACCGUUUACCCCUGAAAAUCCCAAUUUUGAAAGUUCCAAAUUUCCCUUCCACCUUCGAUGAGAGGAUUGGAGAAUAGCCUUUUGAUUUCCAGUCUUGGACGCAAUUCUUCAUCACGUUCAUCAAGUCAAUUGCACCUUUCGCAACUAAAAUAAAAAAUCCAGCUUCAAUUGAACGGCAUAUUCCAUUUCCUAUUCCACCUAUCCACCGACGGCGGUCUCUUUCGGGAUUUCGCCGCACUUCAUCUUUCAGAUUGAUGAUAUCGUUGUGCAUCUCGGAUAGUUUCUUUUCCAAUUGUUCGUAGAGGUGCAGCGGGUCGGCAUUCUGUCUCUCCAGGGACCCAGUACUGCCCGGAGACGCAAUACCCUUGACAUCAGUCAUCCCUUUCAGUCGAUCGUCGUCGAUAGAACUGAGGUGGGACGGCUCGCCAUUCUCUCCCUCCGGAGACCCAAUCUCCUGGACAUCAGACAAUUUCUCAAUAUUCCGUCCGUCGACGAUUAAGUCCCUACGGCGGCCCACAUCCAUCAGUUGAAAGCAAAUGUGGCGGCUUUCUUGACUGCUGUAAGCCUAGGGUUUGCUGUCUUCGGGCAGUACUGGGUCCCUGGAGAGACAGAAUGCCGACCCGCUGCACCUCUACGAACAAUUGGAAAAGAAACUAUCCGAGAUGCACAACGAUAUCAUCAAUCUGAAAGAUGAAGUGCGGCGAAAUCCCGAAAGAGUCCGCCGUUGGUGGAUAGGUGGAAUAGGAAACAUUUACCUGAUGAAUGCCUAUCUACAAAGCCUACUCCAGGAAAAUGAAGGCUCAUUUCCAUUCUUUGAGUUUGUCUGACUCAUUCCUCUUAACCGCAAGUCCAGUGUAACGCUCAAUGCCACGGCAAUGAAAAAGUGACCACCUACCAGAAAUAGCAUUUUGGACAAACUAAGAAAAGCUUUGAUAUGACAAGCAAAUGGCAAAAAUAUGUAUCCAGAGAGUCUAAAUAAACCUUCAAAGCAUUAACCUGAAAUCAAUGACAUCCAGGGAUCGCAAAUGGUUGCAAUCAACUAAAAGAUAGCCUGUUCCUUUUAUUCAUGACUUCAUUCCUUAAUAUUCGCAACAAACUUCUGAAUUAUCUUCGGAAGAGAAGGAUCACUUUCACUCUCUUUUAAUGAAUUUAAUAAAAUGGAAAUGGUAGGUGAAUGCAGAGGGAAUUUUCUCUAUUCCAUUUCUUCAAGAUACACCAGUGUAGCAUCAUAUUUACCACCCAAAAGCAGUCCUUAGACAAUUACAUUUUACAUGAUCCUGUCUGCCAAGCCACCAUUCUCUUCCACCUUUAGCAAAAGUCCUUGGCUUCCUUUAGCUAAUCUUUUGUGCACAGGCCUUGACUCAUUGCACUGCAUAUAACAACAUCAGACUUCCAUAUUUCAAACAUAUACUUUACCAGAAAAUGAUAUUCAGAGGCAAUAUGAGUGACAUCCGAAGAUCAUAAAUCAUUGCAAUAUACUAAAAGAUACCUGUGCCUUUUAUUCAUGACUGUAUUCCCUCAUAUUGGGAACAAACUUCUGAAUUAUCUUGAGAAGAGAAGGAUCGUUUUCACUCUCUUUAACUGAAUUUAAUAAAAUGGAAAAGGUAUGUGAAUGAAGAGGGGAUCCUCUCUUAUCCAUUUCUUCAAGAUACACCAGUGCAUCAUCAUAUUUACCUCCCAAAAGAAGUCCUUGGACAAUAACAUUGUAUGAUAUCCUAUUUGCCAAGCAACCAUUCUCUUCCAUCUUUGCGAGAAACUCCUUAGCUUCCUUUAGCAAACCUUUUGAGCAGAGCCCUUGUAUCAUGGUAGUAUAUGUUGAAACAUCUGGAUCCAGUCCUAUAAGAGAUAGGCUCUCGAAAAGAUCUCGAGCACUAUCAAGCCUCCCAAUUUUACACAGUCCAUGAAGAAUGAUGUUGUACAUGCAUAAAUGUCUGAGAUCCACUCUUUCAACUUCCAUCUUACGCAACAAAUUCAAUGCUUCCUCGAUGUGUCCACCCUUGCAUAAUCCAUCCAACAUCACACAGUAAGUGUAGCAGUCAGAUGUUAUGGGAGUCAUUAGCAUCUUGUCAAACACUUUUCUUGCAGCACCAGACCUUCCCACCCUAAACAAUCCCUGCAAGACUAUAUUGCAUGUAUCAGUGCUAGGUGUUAAACCUUUACACUGCAUUUCUUCAAAAAGAUGUACAGCAUCAUCUGCUCUCAUCUUCUUAAAAUAUCCAUUGAUCAAUAUAUUAUAGUUGACACCACUCGGAACAACUCCAUUAGCAACCAUGGUGUCAAAAACUCUUCUUGCUUCGUCCACUCGGCCCUGCAAACAGUAUCCAUCCAUCAAAGCACCAUAUGUCACGCAACUUGGUCUCUCACCUUGCUUAAGCAUGGUUUGAAAUACAUCUUCUGCAGCUUCUACCUCUCCUUCCUUACAUAGUGCAUCAAUCACAAUACCAAAUGUAAAGACAUCUCGUACAAUGUGAAAAUCAUUCAUCUCAGUCAGCAGCUUAGUAACCUCUUUCCAUCUACCAAAAUUGCAAAGACCCUGGAUCAAACAAUUGUAGGUAACAACAUUUGGGGCAAUUCCCUGCUCCACCAUCUCAUGUAAAAGGUUAAGAGCUUCAUCUACCAUUUUAUUCUUGCACAAGCUGUCAAUGACAGUGCUGUAAAUUAUGACGUUCGGUUUAACUCUACCUUCUUUAACCAUAACUCUGAGAAGUUCAACGGCUUUGCCAGUGUUCCCCACCAUGGUGUCAAAAACUCUCCUUGCUUCAUCCAUUCGGCCCUGCAAACAGUAUCCAUUCAUCAAAGCACCAUAUGUCACGCAAUCUGGUCGCUCACCUUGCUCAAUCAUGGUUUUAAAUACAUCUUCUGCAGCUUCUACCUCUCCUUCCUUACAUAGUGCAUCAAUCACAAUAUUAAAUGUAUAAACAUCUCGUACAACGUGAAAAUUAUUCAUCUCUGUCAGUAAUACUUUAGCUUCUCUCCAUCUACCAAAUUUGCAAAGACCCUGGGUCAAACAAUUGUAGGUAACAACAUUUGGGGCAAUUCCCUGCUCCACCAUCUCAUGUAAAAGGUCAAGAGCUUCAUCUACCAUUUUAUUCUUGCACAAGCUGUCAAUGACAGUGCUGUAAAUUAUGACGUUCGGUUUAACUCUUCCUUCUUUAACCAUAACUCUGAGAAGUUCAACGGCUUUGCCAGUGUUCCCCACCUUGCAGAGUCCAUUAAUCACGGCUCCAAACAUGACCCCAUUGGGUUCACACAACCUUUCACGAAUGAUCUUGAUGAACAAUUCUUGCCCCUGGGGUAUCAUAUGCUGUCGAAAAAGUCCCCUGACUAAAGUGCUAAAGGUAGCCGCAUUGGGGACAAUGCCAUUCUUGAAGAAAAGCCCCAGCGCACAAAAUCCCAAAUCCGCUCGUUCCAAGAGGCAGUAAGAAUUAAUCAAGAUAGUCAGGGUGUACUCAUUAACUGGAAUGCCCGAAAACCACAUAUCUUUGAAAAUGGAAAUCGCAGAAGAAUAGUGCUUCAUCUUAACGAUGCGGCCAAGGAGUUGAGUGAACUGAAUAACAGAAGGCAGAGGCUUGAUGCGGACCAUAUCAUUGUAUAAUCCCACAGCAUCCUCCAGUUUGUUUAUGUCGUUAUUAAUCACAUUUGUGAAACCCUCAAAUGGGUAUUUCGUAGCAUCAGCAGCAGAAUGAAAAGCUAAUUCACCAGUAGCAGCAGCAAUAGUGCCUGAUGCUUUCUGAAAUUGAGAAAUAUAAACAGAAGCAGCAGCAGCAAAACCUCUUCGUCUCAUCAUCGCCGCCGUCGAGACCUGUGAUUUCCGGCAACUUCUUUAAGAGAGAGGAGUAAAGAGGAAAGGACUAAGGAGGGUUGAGUCUUGGCGGGUGUGUCGUUCAAAGUGGCAAAGUCCACCGAAAAGGAUUGAUAUGGUUGAGUCUUUGGUAUAAAAAAAAAUUAAUUCAAAGACUGAAUCAGAACAACCCUUUAAUCGGGCUAUAUACCUAUUAACUACUUACUCAACCUCUUUUGGUUAGGAAAAGCCCAAUAGCCCAAAGUAAAGAUAUCGGGGUGAGAGCAUUCUAAUCUGAUUUUUUUUUUGGGGGGUUAAAUUUUCAAAUUUCAUUUUGAUAACAUUGGUUGAAUUGACAUUUAUCAUUUUGAUGUGUUUACCAGGAUGAAAACACUGUAGUAGUUAAUUUGGAAAAUGCUCAAGAAUAAUCAUAUCAUUUUUAGUUUGGAAUUUGUAGCAAGCAAUAAGUUAUUGUAUUCCAUUUUGUUUGAAUUAAGAAUUAAUCUUUUGACAGAAAACAUUAGGAGGAGCGAAGUGCAUGUAAACAAAUGCAAAACUUGAAGUUGAAAUUGAAAUUGAGAUUUAUUGUCGACCAAAUAAUGUAUAUAUUUUCACACGAAAGAUUAAUUUUCAAAUUCAAUGGAUAUAUACUUUUGUACGAAAGAUUAAUUUCUAAAUUAAAUUAAUUGUAAAAUACGUAUGAGCGAAUCGUCUUAAUUGAAGUUCGAACGCAUUUGUUUUUUAACUUCAUGUGUUGAAUUUCAGAUUCAUUUGUUCUUGACCUUCGUUUUAUUUUAGGGCAGAUAGGAUUGUAAUGCUGGUUUAAAAAAUUAAGUGAACUUUUAGAAAAUAUUAUGGUCCUCUUUCGCUCCAAAAUAUCUUUCAUCCGAAUGAAUCGCUGCACCUAUGCAGAAGCUUUUUCUUCUAGUAAUUGGCCACGAUUGAAAUCGUUGCUGGAGGGGGAGCUGCUAUUCAUCUAGGACAAAAUAUAUGAUCCCAAAAAAAAAAAGAAUUACCACACGUCACAAACUUUGGUGUUUUUUUUUUAAAAAAAAAAAAUUGUUUUCAUUUUUGGGUACAUUGAACUACUUACUGCAUUAGAGUAUAGAAAAAGGGAUUAUUGGCCAUAUGAUUAAGAAACAGCCAUCACCAAGAAUAUCAUAUCAUGAUUUGGGUCUGAGUUCUAUGCCCUCAACAAUAAGGCCGCCUUUAAUGUGCUGACCAUCAACCUCUCUUAGGCACAUUUUCACCUCCUUUUCACUUCCAUCAUUGUAAAACUCACCCAAUUCAACCUCCAUCCAUCCAUCUUCCCUCUCAUGCAGGAUUCUUUCAUUCCUUUCACAGAAUCCUGGUGUCACUACCUCGUCAAGUGUCCGCAACAAGCAAAUGCUACACUUCUUGUGCCUGAGAAGAGUUAUGCCCCAAGAUUUCUGGUCCCCAGCAUCAAUGAUAACCUCCAAGGGAUAUGAAUGUAGCCCAUAUGCACGAUUUGCAAGUUUAACCACCAAGUAGGCUGCGUAUGUUGUCUUGGGUGACAGCAUUCGAGUGUUGAUCUUUCCAGUGAUAUCCAGCCAUGUUACCAUUAUCAGCUCAGCCACUUCAGGGAAUCUGUUGUCGGCAUAUAUGCAAAUAGGACAAUACAUACAAGGGAGAAGCUUUCAAUGAGUGGUGUGGUGUAGAGUUUUCUACUUUGAUUAAUUAGGAAUCUGAAGAAGUAUUUACCUUGACGGAAGAAAGGGUUUCCAGCACCAGUAAAGAUGAUUACUGGACCACGUUAUUGAGAGCUCCCUUGCACUCAACAUGUAACAUUUUUUGUUCGCAAAUUUGUCUAUCCAAAACGUCUGCAUUUGUCACAAGAUAAGGAAAUCAGCAUCAAUGACCAUCCAACAGCAUCACCAUUCUCUGUGAAUGCGGACUCUUUCCAAGUAAACGGUGCAGAUUUUGGUAAAAGAAAACGGCCAUGAUAAAGGGUUCCCACCGGGAUAGCGUGCAGGACAUAUAUAUACAUAUAUAUAUAUAUAUAAACACACACACUGUCACACAUACUUAGAUACAAGGUAUUAUUGUUCCUCAAUCAAUUCUUGCUCAAUUACUUCUGAUAAACAAGAGUACCUGCUAAACACUUGUUAAUAUACCUAAAUCUCAUCUAAGCUAUUACUAUAUGAAUUCCACGCAUCAAAAUUUCUGUCUGUCCCUUAUAUUUAUACACUUUUUUGGAUUCAUUUUAUUUUGCUUUUCCAAAAAAUUAACGCCUAUUUUAAUUUUACACGUGUUCAUCAAACACUCACUAGAAGCUUGGAUCAAAGAAAACAAGAAACGGAAAAUGAAUGCAAGAGCAAGAUUAAAGCAUUUGUUACAUGAAAAAAGCAGUGGAUGAUAUUAUCUCGGAUGAUCGAUUAUGGCUUAAUAAUUGUAUUAAAAUUGUUGGCCCACAUGAUGUAGUUGAUUGAAAACAAAAGCAAAAGCAAGAAGCAAUCGUGAACGUCAAAAAAAAAAACAAAAACAAAAAAUGGAGGGUUUGAAUAUGCACUAAUGCUUUGACUGAUGAACGGUGAUGAUACCUUGUUGCCACCAUCAAUGAGGAGAGGGUGAGAGAGCUUAAGAAACAGAUCCUUUUUUGAUUUGAACUCCAAUGGAGAAACCAAUCUUGAAAGAAUAUCCAGGUAAUCGGAUGGCAAGAAUUUCUCCCACAAAACUUCAGAUUCAGCUGCAUCACGGAUCCCAUUGGAGACCAGAGACGCCUGACAUGCAACUCGCGGAGAUGUGCGAGAGAGCACUUGAACUAUACAUUCUUCCGGCAGAAGUUCGAGGUUCAUUUCUGACAUAAUUUUGCCAGCCAGAGAGAUAUUUGCCAAAAAAAAAAAAGUAAAAUUGGAAGCACGGAGGAAGAGAUGAUGAUGAAGCUAGAAACUUGUGAAUAUGGGAGGAAAUAGUCAGGCCCUUUAUACAGUAAAGCCAAGACUGGAGUCGGUUGUUGUUUGCGGGUUUUGUUGUGUCGAGAAAAUGGUGCACAAAUGACGACAUUAGGAGGACACAAUGGGGAGUUUUGUUGUGUCGGGAAAAUGGGUCCACAAAUGACGACAUUAGAAAGACAUCACGUCAACACCACAUUUGUUGUACGCUAUAAAAAAAAGAGUGGGUCAAGAAAUCUGGAUGGCCCACGACCGUUUAUUAAGCUUGUAGAUUUUUAGCCGUCUGACUAUUAAGUGUAUAUUUGUCAUCUUUUUGACUAAAGAUAAUUUUAAAAUCUUCUCCUGAGACUUUUGUUAAUAUUACUUGACAUUUCUAAGAGUAUUGUGUUCGCAGCAAUUUAAGUUUGAAAGGUUGAACUUUGAUUAUCACCGCAAAUUAGGGCAUGCUUUCGAGAUUAUAAGUCAAACGCAUAAUUUUUUUGUUAAAAAGUAUUUCAUCCUUACCAACUGAACUAACUUGUAUUAGCAUGAAUUAAACCGUUACUUCUAUAUAUAUAUAUAUAUAUUAGGCAAAAAAUGACGAACUAAAGUGUCACUAUGAUAAAUUUUGAGGAGAAAACUUUGGAAGAAUAGAAUUUAAUCUUCUAAAUAAUACAUCCAAUGAAUACAAGAAAAUAUUUACAUUUUUUGUGAACACAUUUUAACCUCACAUAUUACAGCACAUUUUUUUACAAAACUCCAGAAAAUAGCAACCCAAAACAAGCUAUUGCUAAGUCUUGGUUUUUGUCUUGAUAGACAAUACUAUCUAAAUUUAGCAUAAUUAUUUUUAACGUUACACGUAGAACGUUGUCAUUUUUUCACGAAAUGGUUGUUUAUUUUUCAAAGUAUUUUCGGCUGUCUAAGUUGAAAAAAAAAAAAAAGGCUGUCUAAGGUAAUAUGCCUCCACAUUUAGAAGGAUAUCUCUUUGAAUAUAAGUCGUAAUUUAGCCAUCUCUUGGGUUAGAUUCAAUGUGGUUGAAUUACUGAGUGGUAAUAUGUUGAUAUAAAUUCUCAGGGGAAAAAGUGGACAAUUGCUCCUUCAACUUUCAAAAAUUAAAUAUGAAGCUUGCAAAUUUUUAUAAAUUUCUUACUUUUAUCUCAUUUUUACAUCCCUAAAUUUUACAAAAUUUCUUAUUACUCUCACAUUGCUCCCACUAACAAUAUAACAAUUUUUCAUUAUCCUAUUUGAAAAGUUAAAAAAAUACCGCUUUGAAUUAAAAAAAUUCAAAUCUUUUGAAACAAAGCAGAAUUUAAAGUUAAUAUAAUCUUUGUCUAACAUCUCUUCUGUGUAGCGAUAUUGAAAACUCAAACAAUAUGUUAUUAAUCUAAAAACCUGUUCGAUAACCCAAUUGAAUAGUUAAAUUUAAUGGGUUCAAAUCCAUCCAGAUUGGCCAUUUUUUCAAAAAAAAAAAAGUUUUUUAAAUACAAUGCUACAGUAAUACACAAUAACUCAAAAAACAUCUCAUCCAUAUAAUAUGUCAAAUUUUUCAUAUACACUGCUACAGUAAAUUUUUUCAAAAACAUCCCAAAUAGCUAAUCCAAAUGGAGCCGUUAACAUGUUUAGAUGUGUUUGACAAUAAAAAAUAGAACAUCUGAAUUAAUUAAGUGGCAUUGAUUUUCUUAGAUAAAACUUGAUCCCAAAAUUAAAUAAUAAAUUAUUCACUUAUCAUUUAAUGUGAAAUACACUCUAGUGUAUCAGAUUUAGUACUUAACAAUUCAUAACUUGAUGAAUUCAAACUUCAGACAUCAAGUUAUGAAUUGGCACCCUAAGUAAAUUUUGGCACAUGACUCCGUCAUUGUAUACUAUCAUUAGAUAAUUGUGAUCUUAUUUGAAAAAAAAAAUCGACAUUCAUAAGACAACAUUUGUACAUUUUUUUUUGUAGAAAUCAUUAUUUUAUUCAUAAAAUCUAAUAGCAAAAAAUACAUUAUCAUCAAACAUGUUACAGAAACAACAUAUUUGAUUACAGAUACAUCCAAUUUGAAAAAAUUACAAUGUUACAUCGUAAAUUACCGUGUAUAUAUAUAUAUAUAUAUAUUUAUAUAUAUUGGUCCUUAGUAAACAACGAUUGGAAUAUUGACUAGAGAGUAGUAUACUUUGAUAACGUCAUUUUUCCUCCAUCAUUGCGUUACUGGUUAAUUUGAAGAUUUUAUUAUGGGAGAGGAAAAUAUAUAUUUCUUUGCAUAAAAGGGGAAAAAUAGCUCCCGUCAGUAUUUAUCUUGUAUUUUUCUACCGUAUCGGUCACGGAACAAAAUGAAUGAGCCGUCAUUUCAUAAAUCAUACUCCCUCCGUCCCACUUUGAUAGUCCUGUAUUCCUUUUUCAUCUGUCCCAAAUUGUAGUCCACUUUCCAAUUGAAGAAUAUAGUUGUAUUUUAAUUUUCCUAAAAUACCCUUAUUCUAUGUAAGUAGUUGUUACUAUAAACCUACCCCAUUUAAUGAGAGUUGAUUCUUUUUUUACCAUCAAUUCAAGUUUCCAUAAAAUUGUACCAUAUUUAAUGUGAGGGUAUUUUAGGAAGAUAGCAAUCUAAAUUUACUUUUCCAACAAAGUUAACUACUUUUUCUUAAACUGUGUGAAAAAAGAAACAGACUAUCAAAAAGUUGUACUAAAAUGCUAGUGAUAAGAAGUUGUAGGAAAGAAGGUGCUAAUUUCUUGACAACAAUAAUUACUUCAAUUAAAUUAAGAAUCUUACAAAAUAUUUAAGAAAGUGAAUAAUUUCCCAGGGUCUCUUUCGAAAGUCGGGUUGCGGUAUAUGCACGUUUCUCUUUGGUUGGUUAAUCUCAUUUUCGCAUUUCUCAACUUCUUUUUUUUUUCAUUUUGUGUUUUGGAUAGAAUAUUAUUUAAAAUAUUAUUUGACAUAUUUACUGUAACACUUUUUGUAAUCUGAUGCUUGUGAGAUGAAAAAGUGGUUAAAAAUAUAAAAAGGUGAGUUGAAAAAUAUAUUUGUGAUACAAAUGAAAUAUUAUUUAAAAAAAUGCAACUAUCCAAGCAGUUGUAAUUGAAAUUGUACUAAUGUAGAAUUGACAUUCAAGUUAUCAUGUCGACAUUUCCUAUGUUUCAUACAAGACUUUUCUUUUCUUCUUUUCAGGUAAGACAAUAAUCGAGUAUCUAUUAUUUGGAUAUAUAUAUAUUACAUAAUAAAAAAUAUUAAAUAUUAUUCUAAAUAAUUUUUUCAAAUAAUCUCCUAUGGGAGUCGUCGCUUUCUACUCCGGCGACCGGGGCGGUGAUGUUACAAGAACUUGUCCUAGUCAGUUAAUGGAGACGCAAGUGUUCGUUGUCAACUCUUUGCCCGCAUCAAAAUAGCACCAAAGGAACAAACUUUCGCAAGAAAGAGCAAUGACAGAAAAGAAAAAUUGCUGCGCUUUCUGUUAACACAUUUUCCAAUCACCUUUUUACUUCACAUAUAUCAAUCGGUAUAGUAAUUUUUCUAUAAAAAAAAUCCAGAAAAAUACAAUCCCAACAAGGGCUAAACUAUCCAAAAUUAAAAGUGGCAAAAAAAAAAGAACAACUAGAUUUUCAAAUGGUUCCUUAAAUUUCAUCUGAUUGAUUUAACUUCUAUGUACAAGCUCGAUAUGAAAGCCGGAAAAAGGAUGCCCUGUAGAUAUUAUAAAACUUCUAUGGUUCCUUUUUUGUGUCUUUCAAAUCCUUACCUAGACAAACAGAACAAUGCCCAAAAUUUAACACUUGAAAAGAGAACCAAAUUGCACCAGAACAAAUGU